AGGAGGAACAGUUGCCUCAGCACGUCUGCGCAGCUUUCCUUGCGGCGCCCCUCCGCGUGGUCUAUGAUGGUGCAUUUUGGUCCAGUCAGGCCCGGUGUGGUCGGCCUCAUUUUGGAUUACUUCGGUGGGCUUCUCCUCGGCGUGGUUACGGUCUAGUACACCUUAGUGUGCUUUUCUCUGCAUGGUCCUUCCCAGCGUGGCUCGUCUCAGCAGCGUGGUUUUCAUCCGUGUGAUCGUCCUCUGCAUGGUUUUUCACGGUGAGGUCAUAUCAGCCAGCCACCAGCCUCAGCAUAUUUGUCCACAGUUCUUUUGGAGCUGCCUCUGCUCGGAUCACUUGAGCACUACACCUCAGUCCCGACUAGCCAUCCUCAGUGUGCUUUGCUCAACGCGAUCCUCCUCAGUGUUUGUCCUGAGCCUAGACCUCCAUGGUGAGGUCUUAUCUUGUUUCGUCAUGGUGGUCGGCGAUAUGGUCCGAUCUGCCUCAGCAAUUGGGUCACUUCCGUGUGGAUCGUUUCAGCACGGAUCACUCCAGCGCGGUCGGCUGCCUUGGCGCGAUCCACUUGGCUUCUCAGCAUUUUUUUUUAGCCUGCUGGGUUCUCUCAGUUUUUCUUCAACACGCUUCUUUUCCCUCUGUGUGAUUCUACUUGGAGAGCUUUUCUGUUCAGCUUGGUUCCCAGCGCUUCUUUUUCUCGGCAUGGUUCUCCUAGGUAUGGUUUUUUUCUCAGCGCGGGUUUCUUCUCUGAGUCAGCACGGCACAAGUCGCAAGUCCGCGUGGCCGCGCUCAUCAUAGCCUCCCCCUCCUCGCGGCAAGCACUCACGGCCAGAAGCAGAGGUGAUUCGUGCCGCGCUUUCGCGGCUGGGCUCCAUCUUCGUUUUGCCGCAGUGGCUCCGUAUUCGUUUUGCAGUUACGGCUCGGUCCUCGUUUCACGGCCGGUCCUCGUUUCACGGCCGUGGCUCAGUUCUCGUAUUUUGCGUCCACGUCCCCAUCUUUGUGGCCCAGGCUUACAGAAGCAGGGGUGGUCUUGAGGCCCUUUGAGCCCCGAGGUCGGUCGAGUCCCAAGGUGAGUGGCCUAGGACACCGGCUCAGGCCUUCGGAUUCUAAACCCCGGGCCGAGUCAGAACGCACUGGAGCUGAAACCGAAUCGGGUCUGGAGACCCCUGAGCUUUGUAGCCCGGUGUGGCCAGCACCAAGGUAGUGAGUGGAGUACGUGUUGUUAUGUGGUAGCUGUUUUAAUGCUGAGAGUGAGGGGCUCCGUUCGGAAUGUUCGCGCAUGGUGGGGGAAGGGUAUCGUGGAACUGAGGCUGGGGAAGGCUGCUUAUUCGGAGUUUUGAACCGAGUUGUGAUCUAGCUCUUGGAUCCGAGUUGGGUGUGUGUAUGUGUGGGUCUACAGUGGUUCCGAGUCUAGAGUGGAGUCACGAUUGGAAUCGGGUAGAGAUUCGGGUCUGGAGCCGACUCGGAAUUCAGGUGUGGGGGAUUGGGAACUUGGGGUGGAGGCCGCAGUGGUUGCAGUGGGUUCUUAACCUUCCUUGUGCUUUGACCCUUUAAUACAGUUACUCAUGUUGUGGUGACCUCCAACCAUAAAAUUAAUUUCAUUGCUACCUCAUAACUGCAAUGUUGCUACUGUUAUGAGUCAUUAUGUAAAUACCUGUGUUUUCCGAUGGUCUUAGGCGAUCCCUAUGAAAGGGUUGUUCAAGCCUAAAGGGGUCACGACCCACACGUUGAGACCUGCAGAGUCAGAAUCAGGUCUGAAUUGGGGGAAUAGCAGAACUGGGAGUUACCUCCAGAUUUUCAGUUGGGAUUUGAUUCUUUUCUGUGGUUUUAAAUUGAGAUCCCAGAGGCUCAGGUCUCUGUUGGGGACCAGACUGAGGGUUUCUAGUUAUAUUCAGGACCUGACUGGGCAGUACAGUAAGAAUUAAAGUUGGUUUUGAGUGUGAGCAUAAUGGUCUGAGGUAGGGAUCAGGACUGAAGUAUAAAGAGUCUGGUUUUUAACAAGUGGGAAUCACAUUUUGAGACAUGGGGUCCCAUGUGGGUCAGAGUUGAUUUAAAGGACCAAGGCCAGGGCCCAAACCUUAGUCCUCCAUUUUGUUGUUCUUGUUGGUCACAUUCCCUUUUCUGUAAAAUGGGGAGGAGUGCUUUCCGCUGUAACCUUUCUGGGCAUAAAAGGGAGUAAGUAAUUCAUAGAGGUAAAAAUAGUCUUAUCUUAAAUGAUUAAAAAGUGUAAAAUAUUUCUCAAUAGUAAUAAGGACAAAUAAUAUGCAUUUAACAAUCUUUUCUCAUACCGUGUGCCCUUUGUUAGGCACUACCAAAAAGGAACCUUUUCUGUUCUGUUCCCUAGAGCUUGCCCCACCCAGCCAUGGGCCUAAUACACAGCCAUCCUCAGGCAAUACUUGCUGAAGGAAAGCAGGCAGGCAGGAUUAACCAGAUUUCUAUGGUGUCUUAAAUGAUCCAUUUCUGCACCUGUUUUCCAGAUACUAGGAGAAAAAUUUAAAGGAUUGGAUUGCUUGAUUAUAGUUCUAUUUUAAUGUGUUACCAAACACACUGAAGAAAAAAAGUGGAUCUGUUUUGGGAUUUGUGCUCCAGCUAGAAGGAUCUUUUAAAAUUUCGAAUCAGAGCAUGUCCAAAUUCAAAUAAGGAGAGCACAAAUAAAGAAAAUUAUGAGGCACUUCCCUGGUGAACAUAGAUGAAGGUCCACUUACAGUAUUAACUAACUGAAUCCAAGAGAAUUUUGAACAACAGUUCUUAGACAAGUAGGAUUUCUCCUUGGGAUAUAAAGAUGAUCCAAUAUCAGAAACUCUAUCCGUGUAAGUCACAGUAUUAAGAGACUGCAGGAGAAAAAACAUAUGGUUUUCUCAAUAGAGGCAGAAAAUUUACAUGAUGAGGUUUGACGCCUAUGUAUGCAUUUGAGGGGGCUGGAAGGACAUUACUUAGGAAGCCAAAAACUAGAAGAGAAUUUCCCUAACUUGAUACAGUGUAUAUCCAAAUUUAACUUUUAAGUAAACUUAAAAACUAUUAUUCCUGGUAAGAUAAGGAGCAGGCCAAGGGUAUUUUCCUAGCCACCUCCUAAUAUAAGGAAAAGAAAUGGAGAUGUAAGACUUCCGUGGCAGGAAGAGCGAAACUAAUGACUUAGAGAGAAUAGUUGUAUUUGCAUUGGGGUUUGCAAACAUUUUGAUGUUACAAUCUUUGUGUACUUAAAAAAUUAUUAACUCCCCCUCCCCACAUUUAUUUAAGAUGGACUAUAUUUAUUGGUAGUUACAGUCUUAGACAUUAAAAUUAUGUGCUUAAACAUAGAGCUGUAUAAUUGUAUAUUCCAGGGAGGUCAUAUCUCUGGAAAACUCUGACUUUGUGAGAAUCAAAAUAGAGACUGCAGAUGAGUUAUGGGCGUAUUUAUUCCUCAGACCAUCUGUGACCUUUCCUGGGAGGGUCUGAGAAGGCUUCUCAGAAGUUUCUUUGGACUUUUCUUUGAAAACUGCUGAACUACCUGAAAGAUAAGGUUUUGCAGCAAAAGAAUUAUUUGGGUAUAUACAGUAUACCCAAACAAACAAAUUUUUAAAACCCCACAUUUCUUUAUAACAAUAGUGAUGUAAAAGAUGUAAGAAGUGCACUCAGAUACAAAUUAGAAUAGCAACGAGAUUGUCUGGUCUUUUUUUAAGACAGUGUUUUUGGGAAAACUGUAAAUUCCCAUUGGAGAUAAAGGAAGGUAUUUGGAUGUGCAGAGACAUUUGUUUUCUUGGAAAAUUUAGCGUUAGAAUCCUCAGUAUUUUGCAAAUCUGUAAAUUUAGUUAGAUUGCAGUCAGACUUCUAGCUGGAGGAUUUAACAUCUCUUCCUCAAAAAUGUAUGUGAAAGAGAAAGAUGUACAAAUGCCAAGUGAACUUUGAAAAACAUUCCAUGGCUUAGCAGCCAGAAGGGUGGAGUGACAGAGACCCAGAACAGAGCUCAGUGAGCUCAGCCCCGAGUCUGGGGAAGGUGACAUGUGAUCAAAGUGGCACCACAUAUCAGUGGAACCUCCUUGGAAGAUGUUAAAAAACAAGUAAAAGAGAAACAUCCUGUGAACUCAGAGUCCUUAGAAAGGGGGAGCUCCAAACUGUAAGUAAAAGGUAGUUGCUAUUUAUUAAGAAAAACUACAGAGAAUAUUUUCUAGGGUAGGGUGGAAGUCUUAAGUAGGAUAAAUCUCAAGACUCAAAUUUAUGAACUUGAAUAGGUGCAAAAAUUAAGGAUUUCUAUGAACCAAAUCCAUCAUGGCCAGUGCCACUAGUUCCAUAAUUGAAAGACAUGAUUUGCCUUUUUAUCCCUUCUCAUGCAAAGUUCUGCCCAUGACAAAUUACAAGAUAACCAGAACACUAAAACCAGGGAGCAGCAGCUGAGACGACGAGAAAGCAAAUCAGAGGAAAAGGUAAGACAAGAAACUCGCAGGAGGGUUACCAGUGAAGAUAUGCUCAAACUGAAGUCACCAGAGAAAUGCAAAUCAAAGUGACAUUUAUUUUUCUUCUGAGAACCCUUAGAAAGUAGGAUAAUGCCAAGUGUUGGCAGAAGGUAGGGAGCGAGACUCCCCGCCUGCCGCAGGUGAGAGGGGAGACCGACACAGACAUUCUGGAAAGCUGGCCAGCAUUUUUUUUCCUCAAAUAAAAUAUUUUAUACCUGCGGCGCAACAGUUUCCCUCCUGAGUAAACAUGCUGGAGCAGUUCUCCCCCAGAACAAGGAGAGGCUGUGUGUGCCUGCUCAGCACAGCAUGGCCUGGGGGUGGUGGGGUGGUGGGCAUUUGGCUCUGGUUGCUGUGGUUAGAAGCAGGGGACUAGAUGUACACUUCACAAGAUGGAGACACAUGGAAACGGUGCUGAGUGACACAGACAGCAAACAGAAGGAGGGUUUCAGUCCCUGCCUUGGUGUUUAAAUUCAAAUUACACCCCUCCCAGACCUGCGCUAACUGGGCAUACUGUCCAUACGUACAAUGAUAUUAAUAAGCUACUCCAGAGCAGCUGUCUGAGUGGAAGGGAGUGGGGGUUACAGGAUGGAGAUAGGAUGCAAAAGCAUGGAAGGAGCAGAGUGGUCCUUUUAAACAGACCCUUUCACAGUAACAAUUUUAUGGGCAGAAGGCUGUGAUUUACUCUGUGUGUUAUGCACCAGGACCCAAGAGCCAAGUAUGAAGAAGUGAAUGUGCACCCAUCACUCACCUGCCAGAUACCCUCUGUAGACUCCUAUUUCUAGGAACAUCAGCUUUUUACAAGGUUGGCUUGCCCUGAGCUCUGACCAUUUCUUCUUCUCUUGCUGAGCUUGGGCCUCAGCAGCAUUCUUUGUGCACACGUGUUCUAGGUGCAUGCAUGGGUGGGGUCCAGAGGUCAAUGCUAGGUAUCUUCCUCUAUCACUCUCCACUUUCUUUUUUAUAGACAGGAGCUCUCACUGAACCUGGAGCCCACCAUUUUGUUUUGACUGGCUGGCCAGUGAGUCCCCUGGGAUCUUACUUAGUGUCUAUAACCUAGAACCCCAGUCAUGUGCUGCCAGACCUGGAUUUUAUGUGUGUGCUUGGGAUCUGAGCUCAGGUUCUCAUGAUUUCCAGCAAUCACGAUUCCCAGUAAGUACUGUAGCUACUGAACCAUCUCCCCAGCCCAAUAUCAACAUUUUUUUUUUUAUUAUUAUUAUAUCAGCAAAGUAUUCCUCCCGCUUCAGGGUCUUAAGGUUAGCCACUCUGCCUGACUUUUAUUUUCCUGUAAUUCUCAUAUCUCACUGCAAGUGCCUUUUCUAACCUGCCAUAUCAAUUAGUCUCCUCAGCUAAUUGCUACCUCAGUCUCAGAAGCAUGGGCUACACUGUGGUAUUCUUGUUCCUUGGGCGUGUCCACUUAAGUUAGCUGCCUGUCUCCUCCACUAGAAGGGAGGUCCUGGGUGAGCGUGUGUGUCUUCUCUGUAGGGUUAGCACUCUGUAGGCAUCUCACACAUUUCUGGUCAGUGGCUUCAUUGAUUUGUUAAAUGAAAGGAAAGAGCAGGCCAGGAAAGUGUUCUUCCACUUUCAGAAUUCAGUGAGAAAGUAAGUGGUGAAGAUUUCUUAACUGCCACCUUGGUGUUAUUUGGUGAAGGAUGGGGGUUGAGGGGAGAGGGGUGCUCUGUGUUGUAGUAUGUUUCACAGCCUAAAUGGCAUUUACCUAGUCCAAGUAGUCCCCUCACAGUUGUGAUAACAAAACCUGCCUCCCAAGGUUACCACAUAGCCCUUGGGGUGGGGGUGGGGGGGCACUCCCUGCCAGGUCUGCCUUAGACUAGUUGCAAGGAGCUAGAAAGCCUUUCAGCUUUAAACACAGGGUCCUUUAAACACAGCGGACCCUGGCCUUUAUCCUGCAAUGCACUAAAUCCAUGCCCUUAUGGUCCCUAUGAAGACGACCCUGGCCUAUGCCUGUAUAAUAGAAGCACCUCCAUCUCUGCUCAUUGGUGUAAAUAUAUUUUGACAGGUAAUCCUGUCCUCACAAUGCAUGGGGUUCCAUUAAAAUCUUUACAACAUUCUUAAAACAAAUCAACAAACAAACAGAACCCUACUUAUUGUUAUGUUGAUGAAUGUCUUGUCUGCAUGCAUGUAUGUAUACCAUGCAUGUGCCUGGCAUCCCCGAGGACAGAAGGAAGGAUCAAUCCCCUGGAAACUGGAGUUUCAGAGGGUUGUAAGCCGCCACAUGGGUGCUGAGAGACAAAUGUAGGUUCUUUCUACAAGAGCAGUGAGUAUUCUUAGCCACCGAGAUAUCCCUAACCCCGGUUACAACCAUCCUUUAGCUGCAGUGCCUCAGUUGUGAGGCAUUGGCACCUGCAGCUUUACCAGUUUGGAGCCGGCCUGGAAAGAGGCUGGGUUGGGUCUUCUCACAGCUGCCAGUUAGUACAGACUAGUAAGUGGCUCUUGUGAACAAUAGAUCCAGAAGUUUACAGUACACUUAGGAGGAGAAGAGGGUUUGCCUCAGAGAAGGCUGCUUGGGAGAGUAAGUGGGUGGCCUCUAAUACUGGGUUUCCUUUCCCUGUGCUUGCCUCUGAUAUCAGCCUUUGCCAUGGUCCUCUAUGCUGCCUGGCCCCAGAAAGUCUGGGUCAGUGGCCAGAGUCCAGACUCCCAGGGUCCUGAUCAGAGUCUUCAGGAAGGCCUGAGAGAUUAGAGCACAGAACUCUCCUAGCCUCUCCCACUGGGAACUGAAAGCUUCCCUGAGCCUUUCCUAGGGACUGAGACCCUUGUUUGCAAUUUAAAUGUGCCCUCCUUUAUGGAAGAAUCCCAGCUCCUUGAAGAGCCUUGAGCUCACCCUCCCUAGCAGUUGUAGCCUUAGCCAGGGGAAGAAACUGAUCUAAUGGGCCUUUCUCCUAAUAAUGCUAAUUGUGGCAAUUAGGCUCUGCAAUAGAGAAGGGGCAGGGCCAGGCCCACUAGUUUGCCCUUAGCUCAAAUCCAGGCCUUCUUACUCAGGCUGCUGUCCAGGUUAACUAAGCCUGGUGAAGGUACUAAAUAAGCAGAGGUUCAGCAGAGGGUGGUUGAAGCCUGCUGGCUUCCAGGGGCAAUCACAGUGGAUAUGGAUCUGAGUCUAAUGUUCAGUCUAGUAUUCAUACAGGUGACUCUGGGCCUUGCCAUGUGAUCCUCCCAGAAGAGGGUCUAACUGGAGCAUAAAGAUGGUUUGAAUUAAUCAAUAGACCAAUAUCUACCCUUUCCUUUCUCUCUCUCUCUCUCUCUCUCUCUCUCUUUCUCUCUCUCUCUCUCUCUCUCUCUCUCUCUCUCUGUGUGUGUGUGCACGCGCGCGCGCGGCGCGCGUGAGAGAGAAAGAGAGAGAGGGGGAGAGAGAGGGAGAGGGUGAGGGUGAGGGCGAGGGCAAAGGUGAGCAGGGGAGGGGGAAAGAAAGAAGAGUGAGCAGGGGACCAUGGAUAAGGGCUUAUCUGGUCUGGCAGGAAGUUAGGUUUUGAAGCAUAUGGCUCUAUGGAUUAAGAAACCAUUCCUCAGUAUGGCCAAUUAGUAGAUCUAAUCCCCUCAACCUCCUAACAUAUACUAAAGGAUCAAUGUUUCUUCACUCUGCAGGGUCUUGCUUACAAAGCACUCUGGGUCCUGUUCUCUCUGGGAGCUGGGAAUCUGGUCUAAUGAAAGGAAACACAGCACAGGCAUAGGCAGCCUGAAUGCUUAGUUAUUCAAAGGUUACACCGUAGCUGACUUUGAAUCAGUAUAUAGCGUCUGCACGGUACGGAGACUUUCCAGGAAGUGAAUUAUGUGUAGGAGGCAGGGAAGUGAUUAUUGCUCCAUUUUAUAGACUCAGCCAUUCCACACAUACUUGUUGAAAGUCCACCAUGCAUCGCACAGCUGUCUCGAGGAGGGAUUUUACAGGAGUCAGGUCACGCCUGUCCUAUGGUGCUUGUGUGUUGUUAUACACUGAAGGGAAUAUUCUUUGAGGUCUGGAGAUAUAGAGAAAGGACUAUUAGGAACCAGCCAGAACCCAUCUGGGAUCCUAGUUAGGCACUAAGACCAAGAGGACACUGUGGAGGAGGGAACACGAGAGAAAGAAGCUAGCUUUCUAAACCUGGGUACAGAUCUUCAGUCCUUGCUUCCUGUGAGGAUCUUGGGUUUGUUCUGAGACCACUGAGAGCUGCUAAGGCUCUAAGUUCCCAUUCCAUUUAGAUCCCAUUCCACUCAGGGAACUAAGUGGAAUCCACAUUUUAAAAGGCUCUUCCUCCUGAGUGGAGGGGAAUGGAGGUUAUCAGAAGGUGUUGUGGCCUCCCAGAGGAGUGACAAUACAAAAGGAGGGAAUGGGUAGAGGGGGUAAGCAGCCUGGCUUGGUAGUGGACUAGUUGGGUCUCAGCUAGGAAAGAAGGCGUUGGAAGUGAUUGCAGGGUUUCAGGUUUACACUACUGGAAGAAUUUUUGUUUGGGGUGGAGCAUGAGUUGGAGGAGUGGAGUAUGAGGUGACAGAUAUGGUGGGUCCAGCUAUUGGAAAGCUAGUUUUUGUCAGUCCAGGAGCUCCUGAUGCUGAGGGAAGGGACCAGCGUAGGGAAAGAAGGGCAGCACUACUUAGUGGGUGUGAAACUGGGUGCAGAGCUAGCAUGGUGACCGGGGAUAGAUGGACAGGAAAGAGGAACCCAUUCUUGCAGAGGUCAUGUGGAGUCAAUGUUCUAGUCUUAUGAGGGUUGGCAGUGGACAGCAACCAGCCUAGAAUGUGCCUCCUGCCAGUAUGACUAUGACACUUGCCUUCCUCUGUGACUAGAGAGAAGGCCUUAUUUCUCAGUGGUUCUGUUUUCUCUCUGCAUUCCUAGAAUCAAGAGUAGCAAAAGAACAUUUCUCCAUAGAAUGUGCAGGGAGGGUCACCUCCCUCAGGAGGCCUCGUCCUUGCUAAAGUAUUUCAUAAUCUUGGAACGAUGGAAAAUCCUUCUACCCAUUUUAAUGCAAAGCCGGGCAAGCUUUAAAAAAAAAAAAAACAAAAAACAAACAAAUGGCCUUGAAUAGGCUGAGAUGAAAAGCAAAGAGGUUGCCAACGCUAGAGACUGGGGGAGGGGUGUGCAGUGGGCAGGGAGAUUUUGGGAGGCUCCAAAGUUAGCAGUUUCUGAGCUUUACUGCUCAAACCUAGAGGCCCAAACCAAACAGAGCAGGUCCAGGGUUCAAGGUGCAAGGGGGCAACAGCCCUGUGUGGAAGAUGUCUCUUUCUUGUCAUUGUUCCUGAUUAGCUGUUCAAACAGCCUUCACAGGUUCUGCAAAAAAAAUGGUUAACUGUGGGUCCUCUAUAUCUUCUACUUGGUAAUUUUUAAACACAGCUGAGCCCCGGGUGCCCCUCCCAGAGGCUCAGAGGCCAGAGGCCAGAGGUCAGCACAAACUCUACACCACGUCUGCCUAGCCUUUACCUCAUGUGUCUAGGAAUGAUGUACAUUAGAGUAGAGGCUCUGAUACCUCCCUCGCUCAGGUGCCAGAUCAAGGCUUCAUCCUCUGCCCUUUGCCCAGGGUUUAGUGGGGUUUGCUAAUAUUACUUAAUUCCUGAAUGAACCUUUCAGGUCAGCAUAAAAGAGCUGGGAUUGUAUGGCAAAACCCGGAUGGGGAAGAUGGCUCAGACUGUUAAAAACAAGCUCCCAGCAGUGGGAGGGAAGCACCCCCUCCUUGAGGCCUGAGGUCAGUGUUCCCAUUAAUCCUUCUGCCAAGGGAUAUGUACCUAAAGGUUCUAGGGUCACACCCUAUCGGGACUAGCCAUUCGGGACUUCUGAGAAAUGGCAUUUGAUAGCUACAUGUACUGCCACAACUGUACACAACCAAGUCACACACAUUCAUCCUGUUCCCAGCCAGGGCCCAAGACUGAGUCUCAUUCCCGUUUUACCUCCUCUUAGCCUGGGUGCCUCUACCUUGUAAUAGAUGCUGAGGCCUACUUAGACCCCAUGACUGUGCCUGACAACCAAAGAAGCCCACCUUCUGGUGUCACCCACCUCACCCUAGCUCUCUGUGAUUCCAGCUUUUCUAAGGAAGGCAGGUAGCCUCUCAACCAGUCAUAUGCCCCAUGCCAGACAGUCAUGCCAGCCGCUCCAGUGCUCGUUAACUACCUUUAGGCCUUGUGGACUUCAUGUUCUAUGGAUGCGAUUUAGUACUCCCAAGAGCACCACAAGAAAGGGGAUAGCAAGCAAGAAGAAACUCAGCCACAUAGAAGGACUUGUUUGAGGCCACUGGGUGCCUGACAAGAGUCCUGCCUCUGGGGAAACCAGUGCUCCAUGCCUGUAACCUUGACAGAGUGCUCUUGGAUUUAUGUUUUCAUAGAAGCAGUCUGUGGAGGGCUAGAGAGGCAGCCCCUGUUUUCCUGGGUCCCUGCUUGGGAAGUCACAGCUAUCACUGUUGAGAAAGGCAGCCCAGGUUUGGAGCAGUUGGAGGCUAUCCCAAGAGUAGGUUGGAUGUAGAGGUGUGGGUGCGUAUAAAUGCCAUCCUGGGUAAAUGGAAAGGCCACAGGCCACCGUGAUAAGGUACCACUUCCUCUUCCUGCCUGGUGGGCUGCUUCAGUACCAAAAUGUCCGGCCACUAACUUGGUAUAAACAAAUGGGUGUGAUCCAAAUGCAAAGAACAGAUGCCCCUAGCCCCCACUCCUCCUGCCCUGAUUUUCCUCAGUGGGCUGUAUGUCUCCUCUCCAUUCUGUUUCUAAGACCACCUAAACAUCAAGAAUCUGGAAAAUAGCCGCUACAGCAAAUGUUUAUAUUCUUCUUGGUUUGUCAUUCAUUCUGUUCCUCCCAGAGAGGCCUAAAUGCUGAGAUACUGGGCAGAGGGCAAGGAACAGUACUGCCCUCUCCAGAGGCUGCCAAGAGACAAGGCUGUAGUUGUAGUCUUUAGGGCCAUCAGCCCUACAUGAUGCUGUCCUCCUCAUUCCCUUUUUCCUAUGGGUGGGCUUCUUCCCAUGGGCCACUUCUACCCAAAGCCAUGUGAAAGGCCUUAAGUUCUAGAGGGAUAACCUGAGGGUGGCACUGAGUUGCAGGGUGCAAUGAGAGAUUAUUGCAAGGCUGGUAGAACCCUCCAUCUGCAGGGCUGACUUCAAAGCUGCUGCUGGGCUUAGCCUGCUGCAUCAAAGUCAGCCAGUUAAACAGUUUUCACAUAAAAGGGAGAGUGGAGGGUUUAAAAGCCUUCCCGUGAAGACAGGCAGGCAUUCCACCCUCUUCUCAGGCACAAGAGCCACUAGAGGAGAAAGUAACUGCCCCUUAAAGACACAGAAAUCACCUUACACCCUGGUUUAGGGUUUGAAGACUACAGCCUUAGGUACAAGCGUAGUGAGGCACCUGUGUGGAGGGAUCCUCCAUUUGCAUUCAGCUCCCUGCUUUAUAUCUGGCCUUGUAUUUUGCUUCCCUACCUCCAGCACCUAUGUUUUUGGGGUGGGGGUGGGGGCAGGCUAUCUGGCUGUCGGGAAUAAGGAGAUGUAUGGUAUGACAGCCCUGAGGGAACUCAGAGUCAGGCUGCUCAGGUUGGAUUCUAGCUUUUAGUCUAAACAAUGGCUUUAUACAGUGCCUUUCUUCCAGUCCUAGCAGCCUUGUGUGAAUACAUUUAGAGGAGACCCUCGUUCAGCCUCCCCAAGAACUCUCUGGGAAGAUCCAGGAGACUCUACCUUGCUCUCUGUCUCCCCACUUCUGCCUUCCUCUUUGCCCCCCCUCCCCCCACCGUUGGGUCCCUUGCCUGACUCCAGUAUACUGUGAUGGCAGAAGUGCCAAUGUCUCCUCUCAAGCAGAGCCUAACCCAGCUUGUGCCUUGCAGAGUGCAGAGGGGUGCUCACCCUGCCCUCCUUCAGGGAGACAUCAAAGGGAAACUGGAAGCAUUCCCUGCUGACCCCCAGUGAGUGGGAGAAAAGCAGCAGCUUGGCUCAGCUGGCUGGGCUGGGGAUUUUCCAUCCUACCAACAAUAUCCACAGGAUAGAUACCCCACUCUGGCUUUUGAGGAACCAGGAACCCUCAGGAACCAGUGUUUGAUUUGCAGCCUGAUGGUGCCAUGAAGGGCUCAUUGGCAUUGGGGCAUGGCUAGCCACUUGAGGAGUUCCCUAUCCUCAUGACGUGCUGACGACUGGUUUGAAAUCUUAGCAUUUCUCACCCUAGCAGAAUACUACCUCGAGGUCCCCUGAGAUCUAGCUAGCCAGGGGAGAUCACAAUUUGUGUGGGGACCCAAGAAAGGUAGAGAGAAGACUGCCUGCCUUUUCUCUAUCAGCUGCUUAUCCCCCAGGCCUUUUGUGGAGUGCACACUCCAGCCUCCGUAGCAGCUCAGCACAGCCCAGGCUAUCCUAGACUGUCCCAAGUCCUCAAGGGUUUCAGCACCUCCCAAGCUAAGGGAACAGGAAGUCCAGAAAUAGAAGUCAACAUUUAUGCUAAACCAGGGUACCCUCCCCCCUUUGACUAACAUGGGCUUUUGGCAGCUUCUGGCUCUCAGAUCUCCAUGCACAAUUUGUAGGCUAAAUACUCUACACUACUCAGGAUAUCUAAUCCUGUCCCUCAAGAGUUAGACUGUCAGGUUUUUCUGAGUCACAGCAACCUUAGGCCUGGUAAGUCAUAGUGAGCAUGUUUCCCUCUUCAGCCUAGAACUCACAGGAUGGGCCAAAGAGAAUGCAGUAUGGUUUCAAGGAUGUCCAGGGCCAGCAGCACUACCUGAUGAGAUGAGACGAGAUGCUUGCCUGCUCCAUCCUGUCAGGGUCUGGUCACACAACUAGGCUGGAGCAGGCUUAGAGGGCAGGAUUAGACAUAGUGAGAUCCAACAAAGGCAUAGAAAAUAUCAGAAGUGAGAUAGCAAGCCAGGCCUUAGGCUUGUGCUUCCUGUGUUCCUGUCAACGCUGCCCUACUCUAUGAUUAUGGAAAAAGUAGGAAAAAAAUCUUUAGAGAAACCUAAGUACCAAUGUGGCUUUUGUAGCAGACUGAAUUGUGGGAGGCCCUGGUGAAGACAUAUUGAGCUUUGACAUGUGAUUGUGCCUUAGCUGAGGUCUUCUCUCAGCCAAAGCAAGGACUCAGUUGGGUCCCGACUCCCACAAGGCUAUCUUCAAGUACUGUUUGUUCUACAGAUGGAGGUGGGGGGCUGUUUCUCAUUUCUGCCAAAGUCACUUAAGGGACACAGAGAAGGUAGACCUGUUGCUUUUCUAGUACCUAGAAGUGGAAAGGUGGAGGUUGGUCAGAAAGCCACAUUUUGCUUCUCAUUCCCACAUGAAAAAAGAUGGCGCUGGGGGGUUUACCCAUCUGUUCCUCUAUAUCUUGUCUUUGGCUGGCCUAGGCCCUUAUCUCACCACAUGCCACUCCGAAGAGAGACGGAAAUGACAAGAGUGGGCUAAACUAUUUGGACUGGGUAAAGUCAAUAAUAGACAGUGCCCGAUUAAGAACUGGGAGGACCAUGUCUUCCUAAGUCUCAUGGUAUGCUCCAUUCUUCAAGGGGAGCCAUUCCCGUAAGAGCUGGUGUGACAGAUUUGAAGUGGCUGUGCCAGCUAGUGAGUCUUUUCCUCUGAACCAUGUAGUGAUAGGCAAGGCAAGUUGACAAGGAAGUUCUUUCCAAUUCGAAGAAGCCAAGGCAGUCAUCAAGCUUUGUCUUACCAGGAAAACGUCAGUGUAUAUCGUUGGCUGUCUGGCUUAGAAGAGGCAACUGUGAAUGAUGGCCAGAGAGAAUCACCUAACACAAUCUGGUUAUGAACACAUUUGGGCCAUGGAGCGAGAGGCUAGCCCUGGAGGCCUAGUGGAUCCACAAGAACCCAGAGAGAGAACAAAGAGGCUCAGGGUCUUAGAGGCUUCUGAUCCACACAGAGAGAGUCAGGAAAGUUAUUAGAGGUGUUCCUUCAGCUAUGGGAACAACAUCUGAGAUGCUGGUACUCCAGGGCAGUGUGUGUGCUGCUGGAUAGCAGGAAGGUUUCUACUGAUGCCUGAGGCUUGCUCUAGCUCAUAAAUCUCCACUUCUCCUUAGCACUGUGAAAUGUUUACUCUGAACUAAGCCUCUGCUUUAACAAGUCAUGUUUCAAUAGGAAAACCUUCGUUGAUGGAAUCGAAUGCAAUUCCUCCUCCUCCUCCACGACAGUUACCCAUUCCUAAGAAAAGCACAGCAUUUUAGCAAGCACCCAGGGCCUCAGGAACUAGCAUUUGCAGACAGUAGUGUGGCAGAUAUGAUGGCCUCAUGUGCAUCAAGGAGAAUCUGGCCUCUAUGUGCCUGGUCUUGCCAGUCCUUCAGACUGACAGUUCUGGAGUGCUCCAUCCUUCACUUCCAGCCCCAUUAUCCAUAGAAGCCUUCAGUGGGAACUCUCAGACUUGGUGCUGGUUCAUUCCUAAGACUGGCCUGUUGCUGUGCUUUGGAGUUAGCCUAGCUAGUCCUACCCAGUGCUGAGGGUAUACAUACACACACACAUGUGGCAUGAUCUACCAGCCCUAAGGCAACAGUGUGUUUUCUUUAAACAGUAGAGUAGGUUUCCUGUAUGUACCUAGCUGCCAGAGGUUGCUGCUGUGACCUAGAAAUAGCUGCUGCCCCAAGCCUUGAUCCACAGGUUUUUUUUUUUUAAAGAUUUAUUUUUAUUUUAUGUGUAUUAGUGUUUGCCCACAUGUAUGUCUGUGUAUAACAUGCAUACAUGGAACCCACAGAGGCCAGGAAAGGGCACCAGAGCCCCUGGAACUGGAGUUACAUAUUCACAAAACCAAGAUGGUUCCUUCCAUGUGAAACCCUUCUAAGAGAAUCAUCAAAAAUUACUGUAUUUCAUUGGUGCCUACAUUUCUAGAACAGCAGGCAGAAAGGGGUGCAUUGUAGAGAAUGGUGAUAAGAUAGCUUCUGGAGAACUCUGGGGCCCCAGGCCCCAUGGAUAGAACCCUGCCAGGGAGCUUUGAAGCUGUACCGUCCCUUCAAGAUGUUCCUGGCAGGCGGAUUUCUGAGUUUGAGGCCAGCCUGGUCUAUAGAGUGAGUUCCAGGACAGCCAGAGCUACACAGAGAAACCCUGUCUCAAAAAAAAAAAAAAAAAAAAAAAAAAAAAAGAUGUUCCUGGCAUUAACAGGGUCCAAAGCAGCCUUCCCAGCCCCAGGCUGGGUCCUAGGAGAACCUAACUGAUUGCAUGGGAAACCUCAGUCAUUUACAUAUUCAUUUAUUUAUUUCUUCAUCAAACAUUCACUGAAGGUUCCUGAUGUGCUCUGAGUAGAUUAAGCACAGAAUAUAAAACACUGAAUGGAAGUGGUCAGUAUCUGCCCUCAUGGACCUUGAAUGGAAUUGACAGAGAAAGUCAGUAAACUUGUUACCACAAACAUGCGGUUAUACAUUAAAAAUGAGGGAUGGGGGUGCAGUUCUCCAUGGUUCAGUCUGAAGCUGAGAAAUAGCCUAGGCACGUUUCAGCCUAAAAUCAGCCCUAGCUUGUGAAGGUGAAAGUCAGAGGAGAGCUUAGCACGUUUAAAGAUGACGCCAAGAGAAUGUUACAGGAGCUGGGCACCUUCGGCAGAUCGACUAUUCCCUGGCUUUGUGACCUGGGCCCCAGACUUGAUCACUCUAGUUUCAGUUUAUCUCUAAAUCAGAAAUGGUAGAUAGUAUUCAUAUGUCAGAAGCUGCCGUGAGGAUUAGUGAAGUUAUAUGUAUAAAGCCCUCAGCAUAAUGCCUGAGAACUCUUAAGUAGUAUUAGCUCAGGAUUAUUCUUUAGACUGACAUUGUGCUCGGAGUGAGCAUGUUUUCUCCUUAAACACUAGAGUGGUGGUUCUUUUGAAAUACCCAGUUGGUAAAAUCGGGACUCUCCUGUUACUCCUGCCCCUAGGACUCCUUCUGGAUGCAUGGGCAAGCUCUAGUGAGGCCUAGUACUCAGAAGAAAAGAGAAGGCUUUCCUCUACCCAUGCUCAGGAUGUUGUAGAGUUUUCUGGCUUCUUUCGGCUCCAGGAGCCUGUGUCUGUCAUAGAACAGCUUGGCUCAGCCUAGAACCGGCACUCAGAGCUACCUUUUGGAGAUGAGUACAUUGUAUAUGUAUGCAUGUCCAUCAUUUGUGUACACAUUUAUUUGUAGGGCACAGCUAAAAAUCUCCAGAAAUAUCCUGGGGAAGAUAAAAUUCUUUCUAGGCUUCAUGGUAUCCUAGUGGGGACCACCAAAGCCUAACUUCCUACCCAGAGUCUGAGGAUGGUAAGGUCAACUGGUUCCAUUGUUUCCAGAGCGCUCACAGAAAUCGCCAAUCUUUAUCUGAGUUAGCUUAGCCCCACGAGCCUUCACAUGGGGGUGAAGAAUGAGUUAUACAACUAGGGGUCCCAGGGUUGGAGAGACAGACAAAACAGAGGAGAAUGGUUUGUCCUGGAACUCACAGAAGAGAGCAUCCUGCUUCUGCCUCCUAAGUGCUAGGUCUGCAUCUAGUCUACCUUCUGUCAAAGCUAGUGGGCUUCUUUCUAGCCUCCCACCUUCCCUUAACAUAAUAUAAAAGCACAUUCCUUGGAAUCCUUGGAAUCCACCCGUCCCCCAGCAUUGAGAAUAGAAUUAUAGAAUUUUCUCUUUCUCUCUCUCUCUCUCUUUGUAUGUGUAUGUAUAUGUGUAUGUGUAUGUAUACACACACGUUCUUAAUGACAUUUUCUAAAAUACUGUUGUAAAGUCUUGAAGUAAAAAUUCCACUGGUAGUGGGGCCACAGCGAGAAGAAAAAAAAUUCCAUUGGUGUGUUAAUCUGACAGUGCUACAUAAUAAAAGAACACACAUCUAACAAACCUAUGAUGGCUAAUAUAAAACUCUUACAUAUUAGCCAAGAAGGUCUGGCAGUUUAAAAAAAUGUAUAGACCUGAAUUAAGAUCAUAGCAGGAUGCAAAAACAUAUACAACCUGGGUGAGCCUCAGAGGUGGGCAGACGGAGGGCUUCAUUUUCUUUUAAAGAUGGCAUGCUGCUUGGCUCAAUUCAUGUAACAUUGCUAUAAUGCCAUGUGUGGCAGUAUAUGCCUUUAAUCCCAGCAUUCAGGGGCAGGGGCAGGGGCAGGGGCAGGUGAAUCUCUGAGUUUCAGUCAGGGUAUAUAAUGAAACCUUGACUCAAAGGAACAAACAAAUUUCAGUGACGUACAGGCUAGUAAUUGCCAGGGGAUCAGGAAAGUAGGGCUGGAAAGCCUGAGGUACCAUAAAGUGGCUGUACAUAGGGGCCCUUGAGGCCACAGAAACAUUCUGCAUUGGUACUGUACCCUAAGCUUGAUACGUUUCUAUAGUUCUAAGUAUGUUGCUGGAGGAAACUGGUCAAAGAGUAUAGGGAAUCUCUUUGCUAUUGUUUACAGGCAUAUGUCAAUCUGUGGUUACCUUAGAAUGGAGUGCUUAAAAAGUUACAUCUCGCUUAAGUCAGUAGUACACUUAAAGAUACCAAGAGGUGAAUUAAAAAAUGUAAGAGGAAGAUAGGUGGGUGGGUAAAGAGUUAAACAAUAUAGAGACUUUCUAGUUCACUUGAGCAUUGGGAACAGCGACUUCUCCUUAUGAAUGGACGUUUUCUAUUUACCAAGGUGAUUCUUCUUUCAUCUAAAAUAUCAGCACAAUAAGGAAGGUUACACACAGGUGAGUUAUGCUAAGUCUUGUGGAAAAUGUGGCAUGUCCCAUGUUUCUGAAGCACCUGGAGCCACCCCUGUACCUCUGUAGUCUGACCUCACCCCUACCCCCUCAUCAUGGUAGGGCGAUUCUUCUGUCAAGGUGAGAAAGGCAAUGAUUUCUAAGAUUAUGCUCCCAUUCUGAAUAACCAUAAGGGGCUGCAUCUGCCUUGCUUCUGACACUGAUGCUAUUCAACCAGACUUCCCUCUCCACGGCCUUGCCAAGCAUGGAGAAUGUGGGUUGUAGGUGAUGAAAGGUAAGCUGAUGCCUUGUGAUGGAAAAUGCAUUUAAGGAGCACAGCAGACAACCCAUGUCGAACACCUUUCUACAUGGUUCCAUAUUAAUACAUUUCACCUCUGAACAACUCAGGAAGAAUGUUCUUUUAGUAUGAUUUUAUAGACCGAAGGUCUAGAAUGAAGGAAGAAGUGGUGAAGCCUGGAUUAAAAUUUGGUUUAUAGCUUCAGGACCUGCUUUUUGACCAUGUAACAUUUUAGUUGCACAUCCUGAAAUAGAAGCACCAAUCAAGUAGUGGGUGUGGCAUUCCUCCCAGCCAUGGACAAGGUUGGAAAAACAUAAUUGUCCCUGGUGGCCCAGCUGAGAAAGGGACUGAGUCCUUGCUUUACAGAUCAUGCUGUGGAGCCAUUUUUACCUGUAUAGAUUAUAAUAGCACUGUCUGGUGCACCCCCUCCUUUUGGUGACAGAAUUUAGGGGAGAGACUGGGCUAUAUGUUAAGAUUAUGGUACUUUUAAAAGUUUUUUUGGGGGGGGCGGGAAGGGCAAUUUCUAGGGACUGAACCCAGGGCCUCCCACAUGCUAGCUAAGUGUGCUGAACUCUACUUGUACUCAAAACCCAAAAGACAAAACCUCUAACCCUUUGCCUUGAAUUACACAUUGUUCUCCUGUUUUCUCCGAAUGUGAUAAAUUGUCUUACGAUGGCCCUAAAGCAUGAUUAGAUAUGUACCCAGAUGGCUCCUGUGUCUGGCCAUAACAUACUCUUUGGAUGUUGCCUUAUGAGGGAGCCUCUAAGAUAAGUUCUCAUGGUCCCUGAACAUGGUUAGCUAUUGAGGACUAAGUCAGGAGUUAAGGAUGUGUGUCACUCAUAGCCAUAGCCAUGCUUAGCUCACAGGCCAGUCUGGGAGCCACUCACUAGUUGAUACAUUGUGAAUGAACACUUCAUGCCACCUGGGUUUUGAUAAUGUACGAAGAAGCCAUGACACACAGAAGGACAUCUCAUAAAGUUAUAUAAUAACACCAGCAGGACCAGUAUAGUUCUAAGUAGAGCCUGGAAACAGACACAAAAUCAGGAAAUACAAUCAAGAUAGCUGUUAAAACCAGCAGAGCAAAGAUGUAAGUUUAGUGUUGAAACAACCAUAUAACUGUGGAAAAUAAGUCGGCUUUUUAACUAUUCCAAAUCCAGAUAAACAAAUAAUAUAAACAUAAAGCAUGAAAUAAAAGAUGAUAGAAAACACGGGAGACUUCAUUAAGACAGUCACACAGUGAGCUUAUUUCCAGAUCUGAUACAAACCCCUCAAAUAACCAGACUGAAAGAACUGACUUUUUAAAAAAAAAAAAAAAAAAAAAAGCAAUAUCCAAGAAACAGUGGGAAAAAGUGUUUUUAAUGACCCAAACCAAAUGUUUUAGGUAUUUAUAAAGGAUAAAACCCUCAUGGUGGAGAGAUGGCUCAGUGAGUAAGAGGGCUUGGCAUGCAAACAUGAGGACCUGAGUUAGGAUCUCAGCUCCCAUGUCAAAAGGUGGGUGUAACUGCAUUCCCGCCUGUAACAGUACCUGUUGAUAGAUAGCUAGGAGGAUUGUUGGGCCUUACUGGCUGCCAGCUCAGGUCCAGGUUCAGGGAGAGACUCUAUCUCAGAGGAGUCAGGUAGUGAUAGGUCAGGACACCUGAUGUCCUCCUCUGGCCACUCCAUGUGCAUGGGCUCCUGCACAGCACACGUGUUCUCCCCNNNNNNNNNNNNNNNNNNNNNNNNNNNNNNNNNNNNNNNNNNNNNNNNNNNNNNNNNNNNNNNNNNNAAAGCUGUAGCAUACGAUGCUUUAAGUCUUUCCAAUUAACAGGCCCAUCCAUAUGUACUCUUGUUGUCGGGAUCUAGGGAAACAGGCAUAUUUGGGCAGCAUUUACAAUAGUAUAGGGUCUGUGAGGCAUUAUCUACCUAAAUCCCAUUUAAAAUAGGCCGAAGAGACAUCUUAAAGUGAAUCCAUUUGAAAUAAAAAUCAAUACAUUGUGAUAAGCAGAUGAUUGGAAGGUUAUCUUGAAAAAGUGUUAAGUUAUAAAAAGAUUUGCUCAUAUAUAAUAACACUAAUGUCUGCAGACACACACUUUUAGAAAAAUAGCAAAUUGAAAACCUUUAUUUUGUAAAGCACUAUGCAGUACCAUCUUGCAGAGAAAGGAUGUUGUUGCAGAAGUAUGGCAAGGCCUGGCUGAUUUUGAGAGGGGCUGCCCUGAAUCUUCCAUGACCUCACCAACUCUCCCUUAAAAUGCUUAUCUAGAAUUAGCCUGGCUCUUCUUUUCAAUAGAUAACUGGUCUAACUGUCUGAUUUUUCCAUGGAGAAAUUCAUCAGCAAAUCUCUUUCCAACUUGAUGAAUUCUUCUAUAAGAUUUAUAGUUUCUCUUCAUAAGUGAUUUGCUUUGUGUGUGCUUAAUGUUGUUUGGUGGACAAGAGCAGCCUAGAAGGAGCUCAGUCAACAGAGAUGCCAGCAGGGAUAACAUGGAUGGGGAUGGGGAGGCACAGCCAUGUUCAAUGGGGAGAGCAAUUUCAGAGGGAACUAAUUUCAUAAGUGGUCGGUUCAUAAGUGAAUACACUUGAAUGGAUAAUCACUAUUUUUAGCUGCUCUAUACAUUCAUCAAUAGGGGACUUGUUCCAUAAAUCAUGGCAUAAUCAGAGGCUCUGCAGCUGUUAGUAGAAAGGAUGCUUGCUGCUUGUCUGAGUAAAGCUCUAUCUUCGAAUUCAUGUCCAUUGGUGCAGAGCGCCCAUGCUAAACGUGCAAAGUUUCAUUUGGCAUGGCCUCUGGGACAUAUGUCUCAGUCCCUGGCCACUGUGUGCUGUCGGACUCCUGAUUUCUGCAUUGUAUAGUAGCAUCCUUGGGAAUGUUCACUUUCUUCAUAGACUAUCCUUUGGAAGAGAGUCUGGGUCCACCAAUUUAUUAAAGGUACCUUUAGGAAGGUGGUUUUUUAACACCUAGUUUAGCAUUCCUAAUCCUGCACUACCAUCUACAUGACUUUGCCAGAUACUGUUGAGUUUACGUGUUGACUAGAAAUGCGCCUGGUUCCAGGAAUACAGCUAACAACCUGAGGAGAAUAGUGAGCACGUUCUGUCUGGAAAAAGCCUGGCCCAGAGCAAAGGCCACAUCCCCCUUACAACAUCCUGGAAUCCCAGCCACGAGAAAAACAGCACUGUCACCUGCUCACUUGAAUGUGCAUAUAUAAGUAAAACUGCUACUCAGAGUUGCAACAUAUCGUAACAAGCCAGUCCUGUGCAGACAUCUGCAAGACUAUGGCACCUACCUGUACAUAAGACACACGUACAAGUAUACAAGAAUGUGUGCCACCCAUGUCCAAAGGAGGCACAGAGACAUGUAUCUUUGCUUAUAUAAAGUCUCUGGGAAGACCUAGCAGAACUAAAAACAUUUAGGAGAAGAAACUUGGGAAUUAGGGUUGGGGUAGGAGACCCUUAGUUUUGUGUUUUUGUUUUUCUUUGCCAUAUUCCUUUCUGUACCCUAAUUUUCACUGUUUGAUUUGUGCAUGUAUACACAAGGAUGUGUGGUGCAUUUGUGGUAUUUUUUUUAACAUAAUACUAGUAUAAAAGGUUUGCUCUGAUGUGCAGUGCAUUUUACUGUGAUGUUUGCUUUUUUAGCACAACAUUAAUACUUUACAAAAGUCUUGUUUGGACAUAGCAGGUGUAGUUCCAGAUCGGGAUUGGCUGUAGGCAGCCACAGUAUGCAUGCUGGGUGGACAGCAUGCCUUGGAGCUGGGAGUCUCUGGUUCAUGUCACUCUGGAGCAGGGGCUGCUCUAGCACAAAGAAGGUUUUGAAAGGCAAAGGCAGAGCCAGAGUCAGGGCAGGCUCUGGGCAGGCUCCAAGAGAGCCAGCAACCCUCUGCUGAAGGGUACCCUUAACCCCAUUGCACAGGCGGGCACCUCCUGUGAAGUGAGACUGCUACACAAGUCUCGUCAUUAUAGACUUUUGAGUGGAGUGAUUCUGAAAGAAGAGAAUGAGUACGGCGUGUCCUACUGUGCCUCAUUAAAUAUGGAAGUUUUUAUGUAACUUUCCUCCAUUUCAGGUAAUCUCAAAUUUGAUAAAUGAAGAAUGACAGCAGUUCAUCUUUCAGUUCAUUUGUGCCUCUAUUGAUCUAAUUGAAUGUUUUCUAUACAAAUUUAUUUUUAAAUCUAUCUUAGAUCUUAGUCUACAACCACAUUUCAUAUUGCCAAAACUGCAUUAGGGAGGGCCAAGUUAUCUUCACCAUUGAAACAGGUCUGCUAGUUUGGCUCUGUCUGUCCUGUGGAAAUGACACAAUGUUGACCUAAGAGGGGGGUCCUCACUUCUCCCUACUGAGUCCCCAUGGUUGGGGAAGAAGAAGCUGUGAGCCCACCCCCAGACCUGCCCACUCAGGACAUGCCCAUGUUGGGCUUGUCUGUGGACUCUGCCCUUGGCAUCCCUGUUGCCCACCUGGGCUCUGGCAGAGAAGUUGGGCGGGAAGAGGCCAGCCGAGUACCCGCCAGUAUAAGAGGAAACGGAGAGAAACAGCUCCAGUCAGCCCCAGAAGGGAGGCCUGGAAAAACUCUGCAGCUGGAGCAAACACAAAGGACUUUUCAGAUCCUGCAGUCAAGGUGCCCAGUGCUUUUUUUUUUUUUUUUUUUUAAUACAGCUAUUAGGGUGACAAGCCUUUCCAAAGGCCAGCAGUUGGCGAGAGUUUCCAGGAAGCUGGUCUGGCAUGGGGCUGGGAUCAUAGCAACUUUUAACGAGUGAAGUUCAGAAGGAAAGAGUCAUCAGGAAAGGUUUAAGGUUCAACAAACUUUUUGAAUUAUUUUGCAAAAAAAGUUCUGGCUUUCCAAUUCAAAGGCAUGUUUCCCUGUGAUGGUUUUAAGCCAGAGCUUAUUUCAAAGGCAACACAGACUGCAUGUUUCUAAUUCAUUCCCUGGAGAUAUUUGCCUAAUCCUAGAGACAAGCUUUGCAAGUGCCAUCCAGUGCCUGGAGACACUAGAGCCAUCCUACUAUCUUUUCAAACAGCCAUCCACCCACGUGUCUCUCCCCUCUACCAGUUUCUGUGGUUGGGAGUACACAUAUGCACACACCUUCUCUAAGCAGGAAGCUGCUCUUUGCCAAAAGUGAAUGGAAUUCAGAUUUCCAGAGGGUAUCCUUGGUCUCAAGCUCCAACAGCCAUCUGACGAAGAAAGAUGCUAGUGUGCGCGCUGGGGCUGUGAAGAGAGGGGCUUCCGUGUCCAUUCAAAUCUUUCUGGGCCCCAAGAAAAACCAACAACUGGCUGUGCUCUCCCUAGCCCCACCCAGCCUCAGUCACAUUCCUUCCCUUCCUGAGCCCACCCUGGGUGGCCCCACAAACCAGCUUCCACUCCUCCCUUCCCACUAGUGGGGAGACCUAACUCAUGUACUCAUCGAACAGCCAACAGUGAAAAUGAAGGUCACACUGCAAGCCCAGAACAGCUUAAAAGCAGAGAAGGGUCCUCCCCAAUGUCUGUUCUCACCCCAGUCAGAGGCUAUUCCCUUUUUCUCUGUCUAGCAGCCCCUAGGACUAAGCGUUCAUACCUUCCUGUGCUUGCUUCCAGGAAAUCCUAGCCUACUUCUGCCUGUAACAUUCUUGGUCCGGGAAAUGAAGAGGCUGCUGUUUGGGCUGCUGUAGCCUUCGCUACUAGAAUGUUCCAACAUAUUAGGGAUCUCUAUCCCUACCUAAGCCUUCCAAGCCCCAGGAUCCAGCAUCCCUGGGACUUGUACAUUUAUACAUGCUGACAUGGUUUUGAUAAUGAGUCACAGUAGGGAUCAGCAGUGACAAGGUAGACUGGCUGGUCCUAAGCCUAAGUUUCUGGGAUUUGUACUUGUCCAGCCAGGGAGGGAACAUGUGGAGAACCUUCUGCAGCUGUCAGAAGGAAUGAGUGACUAUGGUGGACAUUUUGGUUCUGUGCUCAGCAAGAUACCUAGGGCAGAGACUUGGCUCAAAGGCUGCAAAUCAAAUCCUUUGAUUUCAAAUGAGACUAUUUUCAAUGCCAUAGUCUCCUGGAAGCAGGAUUAUUUCUCCUGAGAUCAGUUCUGGAGGCGAUUGAGGCUUUGCCAUAUGGGCAUUGCUCUCUCACCUGGUUCUGGUUGCUACCAGGUGCUCAGCUUGUCUAAUUACAGUUGACUGUCUCUACUGUCUAUGGCUCUAAGGCCCAGUCUGAUCCUCUUGCUUGGUCAAAAGUAGUGUUGUCCUAGUGGAUUUUCUGGGUGUUCUGUAAAGUGUUAUUAUGGUUUUACUGGCCAGCCUUACUUUCUUUCCUUGGCCAGUCUCAGGUCUCAUCUGUAAGUAUCUGCAUCAUAACCUCAGGUCUACCAACUUCUUCCUGGCAGAGUCUGUAGUGGGCUUGUCCUCAUCACCUUGGAAGGAUCUUCCUGUUCCAGUCCUAGGUUUUGUGCUACUUAAGAAAAUGCCCCAGGUAACUAGCAGUAAUGCAGCCAUUUGAUCUAGCCCUGCUGGAGGUGACUGACAGAACCCCAUACAGAGGAGAUAGGUUCCAUCAGUAAACAGAACAUAGGGGUAAGAAUUGGGCCCGCUUUCUGGCUCUGGUCAUGCCAUUAGGUGGCCGUAUACUCUCUUAUCUCUGAUUGACUUCCAUUCUCUUGUCUUUACAUUAUAUGACACCUCCAAGGAUGUUGUGACCCAAACCCAGACCGCAUGGUCUCCUGAGAUCCUGUGAUGGGGCCAUUGCCCAUUGUUGAGACAGUCUGGUAAAGAAAAGCCUGGUAGCAUGGAGUAUGCAAAGCCUUAGGGAAGAAUAACUGUUUGUUUGAGACAGGUCUCAUUUAGCUCAGUUUGUUCUCAAACUCAUUGUCACUGAGGAUGACUUUGAACUUCUGAUCUUCUUGCCUGAAGCUCCUGAGUGCUGGGAUUACAGAUAUGUACAACUAGACCUAGUUUAUGCCGUGUUGGGGGUCAAACCCAGGGCUUCAUAAAUGAUAAGCCAGCAGCUCUCUAACUGCUAAACCAUAUCCCCAGAGGGAAGAAUAUCUUCAGUGAGGCCCUGAGCCUCUGGGGUGGACUACUUUACCCCUCCCCCUGUGCACAUAGCAUGCUAAGUUCAGUCAAGCCUGGAGCCUUUUGUCAAGCAUUGCUCCACUGAAGGUUGACCAUGCUACCCUCCCCCCCCCCCCCCCCCCACACCCCAGGCACCUGCAUCUGGAGCCCACACUCCUAGCUGGUAGAGUUCAUAGGGUAGGUUUUUGUUUUCUGAAAAAGACUAUUUCAGUGUUUUGAAUUAGCAGAGUUUCAAUUUAAUUUAACAAUUUCAAGCUCGGCGGUGGUGGCACAUGCCUUUAAUUCUAGCCUUUUAAACUGCCAAGAGGCAGAGGCAGGCAGGUUUCUGAGGCCAGUCUGCUCUACAAAGUGAGUAUUCUAGGACAGCCAAGGCUAUAAAGAGAAACCUUGCCUCUAAAAACAAACAAACAAAUAAACAAACAAACUCCAUAUCCAAACCUGAGGGAAAUAAAAGUCUGGCUACCUCCAAAGGAGGUAGACUUAGGCAAGAGAAAAAGAUCUUGGAGUAGAGGGCAGGGUGUUGGCUCACACAUAUGGCCUAAGUGUAGUCAAGGCCAGGGCAAGGGGACAGGCCCAGAACAAAUGAGCACUUUAAGUCCCAGUAUGACCUUCGCCCUACCAUCUUCACCUCAGGUACAGAGACCAGCUGCCUAGGAAAUUAAUGGUGGGGCCCAGAGGACAGCUGCUUAGUGCUACCUACUUCAAUGAACCUAGUUCUGUUGGGGCAGCAAGUUUAGGCCCUAAAGCAGGAUAGGUAAGAACCCUGCCUGAGAGUAUGUGUUUGUAGAGAGCUCUAUGUUCUCUAAGCCUCAUCUUUCACCCUUCUUACCUGCCUACAACCCCACAACAUAAAUACCUCCUAACUACCUUGCAAAUGCAGCCUCAUUUCUGCCUCAGUUCUCCAGUAGGGCACCAUAAGCCACUGUUAGGACAGAGUAAUACUUAGAGUUUGAUUUUAUAUGAGGGCUUACAGCCAGAGUCCUCAGAGAGAAGCCAGGUAGAAUAAAAGUGAUCCCUGAAAACAUCUUGAAUUACACCCUUCCCCAGUAAUCUCUCUCAGAGCCCUCUGAUCUCUUGCUUCUAAGUUGUUCUCAUGUCCCCAAAGAAGAAAAAGCUCUCAGGGGACCUGCCAAUUGUCUCUGGACUUCUGGGGCAGCAGCUCCAUGUGUGACGAGAUUACGUAGGCAGAAUAUCUAAGCAGAUGGUGAAGCCAGGAUUAUGGAGCUAGAAAUGCUUGGCUGAGUAGAGACUUAGACUAGACCCCUAUCUCUUGCACGCGCCGGACUCGCCAGCAGUAACAAUGCUGCAACAGGAUCCUUCUGCACACAUUUAUUGGGAGAGCUUGAUUGCAGAGGCGAAGAGACCCCGAGCCCAGAACUGGUNCUCAUUUGCAUGUCUCACAUCUGAUUGGUUAUACUCUCAAAGCCUCAUUAUCAUGCCCGGGCCAGGCAGUGUCUUUGCAAAAAAUUUUACUGCAUGUGUACACAUUGGUUGUUUGUCCAAACUUAUGCGUGGUGGCCAGCAGUAGUGAGCGCCACUCUGCAACAGCACAUGUGGCUUCCCACACCUAUCUACUUCCCCCCAUUCUCUUCCAUGUUUCCAAGAUGUCACCCAGAUCACCCAUAGAUCCAGCCAUGGGCUUAUCGUCAGACCUCUGCUAACCAGUCAUUGCCAAGGAGAUGCGUCUCAGGUAUGGCUUUUGCCAAGGACACCUGAACUCUCCUAAAAGGAAUACAAAUAUAGGCAUAAAUACUGAGUUGGAGGCUUCGGGGCACCAUGAGAAGCUUAAGAGGAAAGGACAUCCUAGUUCCUAGUCUCUGAGAUCUAGAGAUGCUGGCAUGGCCUGGAAGCCAGUGAAGGCUCCUGGCUUCCUUAUGUGGCAAUGUCAAUCACGGUAUACUUAACAGGCUGAAUUCACAGAAUUCUCAUGGCAGAAGGUGAUCAGAUGACCAGUGCCCAAACCCACCAUGGACUGUUCAAAUCUACCAAUGGUCAUAAACUCUCACGUAUUACUGAGAGUGCCAGCUUACUACUUACUCUCAGGACUUCAACCUGACCUUCACCAAAGGAGACGUAGGCCCCCAGUGACAGUGUGUCCUAGAAUGAGCCUGGCUCUUCCAGUAUUUCUUGUGUGAUAGUAGCAAGUUUCUGCCCUUCCUGAACCUUUAUUGUCCCCUUUUGUGAAGCUGAACACUGACCCACUAAGUUCUCCAGCUUACACAGAUAUACAUUAUGUAUAUCAGCUAACUAUACCAUCACCAACUCUAGCACCAGAAGUGCAGCACAGGCUAGCACUGAAAAACUAGUUUGUAAAUACUGUGGCUACAUUUGGGUUUAUCUUUUCAACAGAGAGCCUGCUUCCUAUCACUUGCAGGGCCAAAGGAAAGCAGGAUAUAAAACUUACCCCUCUCCUUAGUCUGUCUGAAGGUAGGUGCUUUUGAGUAAGCAAGUCAGCCCAAUGAUGAUGGGACCAAAUAUUGAAGCACACAGAGGAACCUUUAACUGCCAAAGGCACAGUCCUUGGAUCCCAUGUCCGACUUCCUCAUCAGAGUUAUGGGUGCUAGUCUCCUGCUUGUAUCUCUAAUUAUAGGAGUCAAAACAGCUCACAAGCCCCUUCCCCAGCUACUUCAGGCUUUAGUCAGGACUUGUAGCCUUCCCCUGCUGCUACAUAUUCCAGAUCAUCCCAGAGCUCAGUCCUCUUAAGUCUAAUUUUAUCCUGUUUAGGACAGCACUUGGGAUGCAGCCUGACCCAUUUGUAGCCCAUGGAAAAUCAUUACCUGGCAGUUUUUAAAGCUGUCAGGUCAAAUAAGCAAAACCUUAUGGGGUCUCCAGUCACAAAGGGAUACUUUAUACUUUCUCAAGUAGUUCCCCAAGUCAGGUAUAUGACUGGAUACCUGUCCACAUUUGCUAAAAUGUAUAUACCAACAGAGGAAGAUACAUUCUAAAUGUGUUAAUACACAAAGAGAACUGUAGCUCAUAGACAUUAAGAAAACUGCUUUAGGGUCCUGUGAGCAGGAUUGGAUGACCCAAGCCUGCCAGGGUUUCCUGAAAGAUGGUCCGUAGCCACUGUGAGCCCACAGCAAAUGCAAGCUUCCCAGGGCUUCCUGGAAGACACUGUUCUUAGCUAUUGCGAGCCCACAUCAGACCAUAAGCAUAUGCAGAAAACUACAGUAAGAGGACAGGAAGGUGACCGAAAUGGCUGGAGAACCAAUCAGGCCAUUGUUCCGCAGAGCCCUCAUAGGGCCAUUACAAAGGACAUUUUCCUAGAAACUGAUGCAUAUAUAUUGAAGCAAAGGCCUUACAGAGCCAGCCAAGCCAGCCAUGAGGAAGAACUGAGGGAGCCUGCAUACCCCAGCCCUCAGGUCCUACUGGUAAACAGCAAUGAUAAUGAAAGGGUAACACUGGCCAAAGAGAACAACCUGAAAGCUGACCAGUUGAACAGAGGACAGUCCAGAGAAUAACCAUAUGCCAACAGCGAGCUGAUUUAUAGUGACACUGAUAUGACAGGGCAGUGGGAGAAGGAUGGUGCUGUAUCAGACUGGAUGUCCAAGUGGAGGAAAAAGCUUAUCUUGACCUUGACUUCACACAGGACACAAAAAUCGAUUCCAGAUGGACUGCAGAUCUACAUGUGAAAGGUGAGCUUUUAAAGCUUUAGAACAAACCAGAAUAUCUUUAUGACCUUGGAGUAGUCAAAGUUUCUUAAGUAGGACAUAAACAGCACUAUCCAGAGAGGAAAUGUUUGAUUAACUGGACCAUGUUAAAAUUAAGACCUUCUGUUCAUCAAAAGACACCAAGAGGGGGCAGGACAGUCCGCAAGCAGGGCAGUAUUUACAAUACAUGUAUCUGUGUAUCUGACAAAUGACUCACACUUAAGAACACCCAGGACAGAGAGAGAUAAACUUGUGCCUGAAGAAGAACAGCUCUCAGUAUAGGAUAUAGAUGUCUUACAGAGAUCUAUAAAGAAAUGAGAAUAUAGAAUGGGGCUUAGCUCACUGCAAAUUACAGAUACCACUCUGAUGUUAUGAGAAGCCAGGAUGGCUAAAAAGGAAAUAGUGAAAAAUUCCAAGUGUGUGUGAGGAUGUGGAAAAAAGUGGAAUAUUCACAUGCUGCCAAGCAGGGGUAAAAGUUGGGGUGACUGCCAUGGGAAACAGCUGAUCCCGCAAUGACCCAGCACUUCUCGGCAUACAAUUAGCAGAGAUAGCCAUAACUUUUACCAGACACAUAUAUGUAGAAUAUUCUUAGUAACUCACUACCCAGAUCUGCCCAGUGGUCAUGGGUAGUAGAAUGAAAGAGCAAAUCACAGGCCACUCAGAACAGAGUGUCAACGAUCAAAAGGCUCCCGAGACCACUGUUUUCUUCAGCCUCACUGGGAGGGGUGGGUGGUUCUCAGACAUCAGAGUGAAUGAAAGUGCCAGAUACAUGUGUGUGCCGUGUGCGAUCUAGCCAUGUAGAUUUCAAACUCGGGCAAAGAAGGCUGUUGUGCUGGGAAGUGAGCUUAUGGUUUGUUCUUGGUGUGUCCAUGAUAGGAAAUGGGAUCUAGGGGACUCCCUGGGGAUUCUACUGCUUUCUUUGGAUGCUUGGCUCUCAGGUAGGGAGAAUGCAGUAGGUUUGUACUGGAAAUCUGUAUACGUUACUCUUUUGAUGUGUUCCCUUUCUACUAUAAGUAAGUUUGUAACCCAGUGCUCUAUAGAAGACAGUAUUUUCUGAGCUUUAGUAGAGACACAACGCGGUACAAGCCCAGAGGGACUGGCCUUGCCGCCUGACUACCACCUUGUUUAGAAGGAUAUAUUACUCCAGUACCCCUGACCAGACCACCAGCAGUCCCUAUUGUUCAGUUUCCACUUCCAGCUCUAGGCAAAGCAAACAGAAGAUGUAUUUGAGGGGCUCUCUCUGUUUUUCAGAGUACCUUUCUUUUAUGGUAUCGGUGUAGUAUGUACUGUCACACUACUCUCCCUGGCUUCUCUGUCUCCCUCAGAACAAUUCUAGGAGGUUGCUGCAUCCCUUUUCAUGUGCUUAGAUGAAGGAAGUGAAACUAGGGAAGGUUAGGGGCACUGGGGGCUGCCUAUAGCUGGGCCAGUGCAGGCUGGGAGCCAGAUUGAGGGCAUUCGAUUCCCAGUCCCUCUCUUUCCCACUGAGCCACUGAGCCACUCCGCCUCGCUUUUAAUUUAAUUAGGAGAACAUUUAAUCCCCCGUGCAUUUCAGAGACGGGUUUGAGCCUGGCCGGGGCCUUGUGGGGCUCUGACAGGGAUCCUGUGACUCAUACAGCCUUGCACAGCCCUCCCGGGAGGGCUCUCAUGGGGCUUCUUUGGCACCUUAUGCAGACAGAGGUGGUCUGGAUAUUCACAGAAGACAGGACACUAGUCUGGAAAGACAAACUGGUCUCAUCUGUUCUUGACAAGUCCCCUUCCCUAUCCUCCUGGACACUGCCCCCAACAUGGCCCCUCCAUCUUCUCCCAUCAUCAUUUGCAGGUUGAGAAGCCAAGUAAGAGAAAUGGGUGCUCACUGAGGUACCACAGCAGGCCCUGAUUGUCUCCAGGCCCUGAAUAUCCCAGGCAAAGCAGUCCCAUCAGAAGAGCUAGCCCCCUAGUCCACUAAUGCUCCCCUUCCAGAAGGCAUAGGCUGGCCCCAGCCUCGCUGACAAACGCAGAAUUCAGGAGACAUUAGUAGUGAUGUGGAUGAAAGCCAGGCCACAGCGGGCCUCCCUGGAAAAGAGAAACUCGAACGUCUUGGCGUGAGAUUCUGCAGGGUCCAGGAGAAAGUUGAAGACAUGGAAAUUCUAAUUAACGCACGAGGGGCUGGUUUUGCUCAAAGAUUUUUGAAGCUGUCAUGUCAAAAGAGGCCCGGCAAGCACAUGCUCGCCCGGGAGGUGCUUGUGGGCACCUGGUGGGAUUCUUGCAAUGUCCUAGCCUGUAUUCUUACUUUCCCUCUGUCCUCUAGACUUUUCUCCACCCAUCUUGGUAAACUGGUGGCCCCUGAAUGUCAUCCCAGAGUGGGAUGGCAGGCUGGUUAGUAAAUAAAUGUUGAGGCUUCCAGUUGAAAAUGUCACAUCAAAAAAGUCUGAGGGCUCAGGAACCAACCUCUUGGAAGAAACCUUUAGGGAAACUACAUGGCAGAGCCAGGCUGAGCUAUAGGCUGCUGUGCUUGUGGUAGGCUUGGCAUUUGGGGAUGUUCAUCUUAGAUAUCCUUGUGCAACGGAUGGGGCAAUGGUUCCAGACAAGUUCUGAUUGAUUCAUCGGCUGGAGGGUGGGGUGAAGUGGCUGUAGGAGAAGCUCACUGAGGUCAAACCCAGACAUGCUUCUUUAGCGUUGAGCUAUAGGUGCUCAUGUCCUGGGCCCUGUGUAUGUCUCGGCAUCUAUGGGACGUACCUGGAGACCUUGCUUCAUUUCAGGCAAGGCUAAUGAUGUGCUUUCUGUGUCAGAGUAGGACUGGCAAUCUUAGGGUUCUUUCAUCCUGGAGUUUUGGGGAGUGCUGGAAAAAGAGUGGCCAUGAGCAGCCACAACACUCUGCUGCUUGCCUGACCCAGGCUAGAAUCAGGGAGCUUUGAUGAUAGCCUCAAGAUGAUGUGAGAGGCAUUCCUGGGGAAAGGGAGGACUGAGUAGACACUGGAAAGAUGUGCAAUUCUGAUGGCUACAGGACCGACAAGGACAUUCCAGCUGGUGGGAUGCAAAUGAGCCCUUGCCAGUUAAUCCCAGUAAGCAGAAUCCUGGAGACUUGCCCUAUUAGUUGUAAAGAUACUCCCCAUCUCUCGUGGCAGUGGGUCUCUAUUUCCUACGUGGCCCUUAGAAGUCUGGAGCAAGGCUUUAGAUAGAGGAUUCAUGUUGAGGGAGAUUGAGGAGUACAGGGCUCCCUUCCAGUGAUGUUAGAACCAGGAAGACAGCAUCUGACUGAAAUAUGUAUGCAACACCGAGGCCCAGAUAUCCAGAUCUGGACGAUGCCUGGGGCUUACUUGAGGAGCUGCUGGUACGUGCCUGUUGAGCUGGGGUCAGAGAAGCAAUAUUGUCUUCUCAGCAUCCUUCCCUAUUUACCUCUCUGGUUUUCAAUAGGCCUGCACCUUGGCCUCUCUGUCCCCAAACUAUCAGUGGCCAACCGGCUCUGAAAAGAGGAGCUUCACCCAGCCCCAGGGACCUUCCCAUAAUCAAGGCUACAGUGACCUCACCUCCCUAGGGCCCCUGGGCGGGGAGAGCUUGAGAUGGAAACAAAAUGUGUCUUUAUUUAUGCUUUUAAUUUGAAUUCUGGAACUGGCCCAGCAUGGUAAUACAUUUAACAUCAGUAAAAUGCUGAAGAAAAAUGGAUCUGUUUUUCUGCAACUGCUUCCCACCCACUCUGCUCCCUGCAAGACCCUAGUACACAUCUCUGUCCCUGGUAGACACGUACGAGGGUGUGUGCCUCUUUUUUCAGUGUAGGUUCAUAGGGCCAGCUGCCCACAGGAGCCAUGCUGCAUCAGUGAGCUGCUGGAGCCUAGCUUAAUUACAGACAUCAAUCAACAGGCUGACUAUGCAAGAGGCAAAGGAAUGCAGCCCUGGUGUGGGCACGUGGGCCCCUUACACAGUACCCAUGAUGGCCUAUCUGCUCCCCUAGAAUGGGGAGGGGUCUUGGUAAGGCCAGUAGUCCUGGGAGCACAUCAGGUUCUAGGACCCAGACACACACCAGGCCUAUGGUCAUGCUCUCUGCUAGGACUUCCACCAAGGAUGGCACUAGACUUCUACAGAUGUGGGUGUCUAAAUUCUUAGAUGCCUCAACCCUGACUCCAACUCUGCUUUGACCAGAUUAUAUUUUUUGCUUAAGCCUAUGAUCUCUCUAUCUCUACCUUAGGUCUUUUAACUCAGCCCCACCGUGGGCUCCUCCUUUCCUCCUUUCCCACCUUCCUAGAUUGGCUUGUUCCCAGCUGCUGCAUUUGGAAUAAGUUGGCCUAGAAAGAGUCUUGGUGUGUUCUUGGGUAGAGACUUGACUGGAUAAAGACUGUCCACCUACUCAGGUUCCAGGAGUGCUGGCCUGAGAAGAGCUGUGGUACCUGGAAAGAUGGUGACACACUAGGCCUAUAGAGACCAAGAAAGCAUCAUUCAUGUCUCUGAGGUUCUGUUACAGAUCUGUUAUCAGAUUUGGCCUAGUACUCUGAGCAGAGUCGUCUAAGUGGCUUAGGGCUGCUUCUAGAACAGAUAGACAGUAAAUGUCUGGCUCCAGGAGCUUUGAGUAUACUAAUACCAGCACAGGUGGCCUUUUGCCCCCAAAGGUGUGGUUAUAGGGCAUCUAUGGACUGAACUAUGGUCAUGUAUCACCAGUUUCCACCCUCCCUUGGGACCUCGUUGGUGCUCACAGUAGCUAGGAGAUGUGAGACACAUCUAUCAAGGUAGAUGGUUUGUUGAGAGCACUACUCUCAUUGUAGCUGCUUCUGUGUCUGGAGGUUGCUCCAUGGCCAGAAGAAUAAAAUGGAAUGGAUACCAAUGAGAGGUGAGUGAUCAGGGGGAUAAGAAGGCUGACUGGUCUUUCUAGGCGUAGGCAAUUCCCUGAGGCCUGCUAUGGUUGCCAUGGUGCUACUUACUAUCCUUACUCCUAAGCAGGCACUGGCAUAUCCAACACCAGCCACAAGACACCAGUGUUUACACUUUGAGUUGUCUCAUGCCGUGGACUUGAUGGAGAGACUUAACCAUAGUGUAAGCUAUUUUUCUACCCUCUGACGCCAGCCUAUACCUGCCUAGCCUGUCUGGACUCCUGUUCCCACACCUCUGUUCCCGCUUGCUAAUGCAGCCAGCCUGUAAGGCUAUCUUAGGAGGGAGAGUGACCCCUGCUUCUCAAUAACAUUCUCGCUCUCUCUAAACCCAUGAACCCUCUCUACAUCUUACAAACCACGAGGCACUGCUAACCUCGUUUAAGUUUGGGUGGUCUGGGAAGAUAGUGGGCAUGCCUUGUUUGAUCAUAAUCAUUCCUCUGACAAGCCUGCCUUCCCCCAGGGUGGCCUCAACUUGGCUAUCUGGUUACUUAAGAAACCCCCAGCACUGUGAGUCCAAGUUUCUUCAGUCAUUGUAAAGUCAAGCCUGAAAUCUAGGCAUAGGCCAGAAGCGUUAUGACUACACAAGGUUAAGGACAUGAAUUUUAGUAGAAAGAGUGGAAGAGUCUCAGAAUGCGAAUCUCAGGAAAACUAAGAGCAUGGCAUUAACAUCCUGGCACAGAAACCCUUUUCUAGAGGAGUGCCCAGUGGGGCAGUGGUCAGAAGCAGUCUGAGUGACCUGCCUCCACCACAUCGCUGCCUCUCCUGAGUUUUGGUAGGAACAUUUGAGUCACAUGUUGCAGAGAAAUCAUGGCAUGGCUGGGUACUAGGGUUUGUCCUGGUGAUGCCUUGAUGGGGGCCCAAAUGGGGGGAGAGGAUGGGCAUGUGUCCCAGGCCAGCUGUGCCUGGGGGAAGGCCAACUGGAAGGCGUAGAAAAUCAGCCAUUUCCUCCACCUGAAGGAGCCCCCGAGGACAGUAGUGGCAACUAGCAUCUGCCCCAUGGCUUUGGCCAAAAUCCCACAGGGAAAUGCUAAAAAAUAAUGUUAACUCUCUUGAAGGAGUGGUGGAGGGGUGGAGGGGAGGAAAACAACAACAACAACAACAACAACAACAAAACCAACCCAAGUUUCUCAGACGCUCAAAGCAUGCAAACAAGUGGAAAAUGAUCAGUCUGGUUUUCCAUAAGUCAAAACAAGAGGAUCAUGUUUCCAGAUUCAGUGGGAAAGCCCCUGCCCUUCUCUCCUGCCUGAGCCCUGAGGCCAGCCCCAGCAGCCAGUGUCCCCAGGUUCAUAAGGAUAGGCAGUGAGUUGUGGGUACUGGGUAAAUAGACUGCAUCCCAGCAAGAGGAUAAGCUUUGCCCUAUGCUAGGGCAGUUCCCUUGAGCCCCAGCCUUUGAGGGCAAAUGGACACUCACUGUGACACAUGGGUGAUGGGGGUCAGCAGUGUCUCCCCUUCCAGGUCCAGGUCCUCUGCAAAGCUGUUUGUUCUCAAGAAAUGGGGUGUGCUUACUUCCAGCAGUGUAGGGCUCUUCCUUACUGUGAAGAAGGUAUGGGGACAGCUCAUUAGGCUUCAAUAGAAACUUGAUCAUGAAGGGGAUCCAGAACUGGACAGAACUAGACUCAAAUGUCCACCCCAACCUGCUAUUGCUAUGGGAUAAACCUGUAAGCUCUCAAGAUCAGGUGAAGAGUGAGGACAGAGCUUGGAAGUUUUAGCCUUACCCAUCAGGUUGGUUUACACUGAGUGGAAUAAGUGAGUGGGCAUUCACUUAUUCCAUUCACUUAUGCCCAUUCACUUAUUGAUUGGUCCCCAGGUACCUGGGGACUUAGCCUCCCAGGGUAAACCAUAGAGGCUGGUACAUUCUCCCCAGUGUUGUAGCUGCCCUGGGACUGAGUUCCAGGACUGAGUAAGGUUCUGCCCUAUGUAUGUUAAGUUCUAGGCCUCUCACCAGCUUCACAUAAAACAUUUGUGCCAAGAACAAAUGAAAGCACUGAUCUCCACUACUGUGCUAUUCACACACAUACACUGACAGAUCAGUGGACCAUGCAACAAAAGGUGCUAGUACCUCUGCUUAUCAGGAAUCACAAGCUGAAUUCCUUGUUCUGGUCAUGAUGCCUUAUUAACCGGGUUCUCUCUGAGGGAGGCCUCCAGACUGUCCCAAUAGCUGACUUCCAUAGCUCAGGGCACUGAUCCAGAUUAGUCUUCACAGCAUUUCCAGCUUACUAGUGUUUGCUCUCAACUCACUUCUCCUUUAAAGUAUCUAAUAUAGUAUUAAGUACUUCUGAUGAGUGGAAUAUUGAAAAAUUCACAGUGGUCCUCAAUUAUAGGAAUCAUCUGCUGCCCGGGACCCUGGCUUUUCUGGUAGCACAAAUGUGAGGUCAUAAACUUGGGCAGACUUCUGUUCUUGUCAGUUUUUCUUACUCUGCGACAUUCUUUUCUUUAGGUAUGCAGCUAUGCAUCUAAUGAUCAUUUUAGCAGCACAUGAGCCCAUAGCUUAGGUCUACCACAAUUAACUUUACUCAUCCCAUAUUUUAUGGAUGUUCAGUCUUGUAGUUUUAUGACAACCAGACAGUGAUGUAAUAUCCAUCUUCGUUGUUAAAAGUUGUUGAUAUACUGGGCAGGUGAGAUAGCAUGACUUUGGUAAUAUUAAUAAGUGUUUUUGGAUUGUUCUUCUGUUAAGUUGUAGCCAACUAUUCCUCCCCUUCAAUUUUGCUUGGCCUUUUAAGCAUGGAUAAACACUGAGGCUUUCUCAUUUUCAAAAUUGUUAUUAGUUCUUUGAGACUAUGAUCAACGAACUUUGAUCCUCAACCACCUUCUAACUUCUCAAUUUUGUAUCCUCUUGUUUUAAAAUUCAAUAAUUCAUCAACUUCAGUUUGUGCUCUCCAUGUAAUUCUGGGUGUGGGGGCUGUAAUACUGCAGUAUGAAUGACCCACCAGGAGUUAGAAUGUUAAGGAAAAACUCUCCUUUCCCAGGAGCCAUUAAUUGUCCAUAGCUUUUCAAGAACCUCUUGGGGUUCGUGAAAUUCUUGUACUCAAUGAUACAGUGUUGACUGGCUUGAUCUUGUGUAGGCAAUCAUGCAACUGUCCUGUCAUGCCCAGAAGUUAGUUUGUUCCAGUCGUCGCCUAUCUCUGGCUCUUACAGUCCUCCCAUCCCCUUUUAUAAUGGUCCUGGGCCUGUGAGAGGGGGAUGGUUUUCUCAUUUUCAUAUUCACUGACUGCUUCUGGCUUGUUUGGGAUUCUUCUUUCAGAAUUGCCCGUUAAUAACCUUUGCUUGGCAUUUCAAAGGAACUUUUAAUUCAUUAGAGAUAAUAACCUUGUGUUACAUGAAGCAUAAAUAACUUUCUUGGUCUAUGUUUGUCUUUUUAACACUCCGUUGUUUUAUCAUAAAGACUGUCUUGUUUUUUUACAGUGAUGCAUUUACUUUAUGGAAUGGGUUUCCCACAACUACUACAGCAGUCUUUUACAUUUAUUUCCAAUAUAAACAUACAAAUGUGGGCAUACAUCUGUAUGUGUAUAUAAAUUUUAACACAUUUAGCAUUUAUGUGUAAUGCAAAGGAUGUUUAGAAGUCAUACAAUGGAAAUACAAGAACACUAUAUAUAGUCUUUUAAAAAUCUGAAAUAGAACAUAAAACUAAAAAAAAAGUUAAGAAAACUUCAAAAUCUCUAGGACUUUAGAUUUGAAAGAGAAUUGAGAUGCAACACCGAAAACUUAAUCCAAGUGGGGGAGGGGACUCAAUUUUAUUAUAAUUAGAAACAAAUGAGUUAUUCCUGCAACAAGUGCAUUUUUCUAAGUAGCAACAGAAGCAAGGAGGAACAGGCUCACUGACUGUUAAAAUGCUGUGCUUUGUGAAGGCAAUGAGACAAGUCACAGAUUUACUGCAUAUCACUUAAUGGAAUCAAGGGCCUUGUACCCAGAGUAUAUAAAGAAGAAUGAUCAUAAUUUGACAACAGUGAAGCAAACAACCCAUCUUAAAAAGUGGAUUACAAAUAAGCAUGGGAAAUUGUGCUCAGCCACAGUCUAUGGUCUUUAUGGAAAUACAAUAUUAAAGCUUCAGUGAGAUAACCCUGAAAAUUAUCAUGAAGAUGGAUAAAGCGUUAAAUUAAAACCUUGUAACAGCCAGCACUUCAAGGAGGCAGAAUGACUGCAACCCUCAUGUGCCCGAGGUGGGAAUGCAAAGUGGCCCAACUGCUCUGAAGAACAAACUUCAUAGCCUUAUAAACACACAUAUGAUUUAUGACUCAGUGUAUGGGAUAUUUAAGUUCACAUAAAUCUGCACACAAAAAUAUACAGCAAUUUUACCUCUAGUUGCACCAAACAAGUUAUAACCAAGAUGGCAACAGUGAAAUGAAUAAAGAAAUCGUGUUGUGUCUAUCUGUCCCACCUAUGCAGUGGAAUAAUGUCCAGCAAUCAACUAGAAUAUUGGAGGAUCCUGGGACAGAUUAUAGACUAUGGUGAGUAGACUGUGUGUUGUGAAUACAUGAUAGAGCACUGAAGAGAGAAGGUGGGGUCUGGGGGAGGAGGAACUUGCUAACGUUGCUUUAAAAAAUAAUGUUUGGACUAAAGAAAACCUAGAGAAAAAAUACUGACAUAAACACAAUAUUCUUGUAGAUAAUUUUGUUUCACACAGGGGUACUGUAUAUCAAGGAUUAUACAAACCAGUAUCUAUACUAGAAAAUGGGAGCUGAGGACAAAGUAAGGAUAAUCAGAAACAGUAUAAACUCGAGGUAAGCUGCAUAAAGAUACAAACCCUGAAACAUGGAUGUAUAUAGACUUUCAUUAUAGACAUACAUAUUUCCUAGUUCUACCUGCAGAAAGGAUAUGUUAUCAGUGACCCUUUUGUGGCAAAGAACACACUCCGUGCCCAGGUCAUAUAUAACACUGUUAGUCUGCCAAUAAAAGCGAAUAUGGCUCCUUGGAAGAAUGGCCGCUUCUGGGGCUAGCACAGGGAAACUACACGAUGAACCUAAAAGGAACUAAAUGGAAAGCAUGUCUAAAGGGCUCCUGUACAAGUGGCUAAAGUAGAAAAAGGUUAGCCACAAAACAAUAAUCCUCAGCUAUACCCCAGAAACACAGUUGCCAAGUCCGUCUGUAUUUCUAAAUAACUGAAAGUGAGAUGAAAAAAGUGAUCUCUGUAAGUGUAGAAGGAACGAGUUAACCAGAAGUGCACCGUAGAAAUGCUUGAAAGAUCCGUGGAUGAAGGCUAGAAUAGAAUUAGUAGGUGAAAUCUUUUUUUUUUUGUAAUUAUUCCUUCAUUCUCUUUAUUGAUCCAUGUUGAACUAGAAAGCCACUUUGUUCAUUUAAUUAUCAUAUAUGAUUGUAUUGUACAUUUUACAGUUAUGUUGUUUUCCAGUGACAUUGAUUGAAUCCUGGGCUUUGUUCAUGCUAGACAAGCAUUCUGCCACUACGCUACAUCCUUAGUCCCAAAAUAAAUUUUAAUUGCUUUAGUGAUUUUAACACAUUCACAGAGUCUCUAAUACUCUUUUGCAAGAGAUAGAAUGAAAUUCCUCAUUCUCCGAAUGUUGGCCAGACCUGGUGACUUGCUUUUAAUAACUAGGUCUAAUAAAGGUGAAAUAGUGGGUCAAUUACAGUGAGCUAUUUAAUCAUGUAAAGUUGACACCAUGGUGAUGGAAGAAAAUGAGAAAAGCACCUUGCCUUAAUGACAUUUACGACACCUGUAACCCUAUUCUAAUUUUGAGAGAAUGUUAUACAGACCCAGAGUAGCACUGACAUUUGAUAAGUAUUUAAAAGCAUCAACUCCAGUGACAGUACUGACAGGACACCAAGGUCCUGCUGAAUGAGCGUGAUGGUAGAUAUUGGACAGGCUCUUGGAGCAUCAAACUGGGAGAAAGACUAAAGUGUAGCUCUACAGCAUUGUAUUAAAUUAAACUUGUUUUAGUUUUUAAUCAAAGUAACAUGGUUAUGUGAGGUACUUCGUGAAAGGUACAUUGCAAGACUAUUUUUUCUUUUACAAGAAUAUGUAAUAUAUGCAAAUAAAACACACAAAUUAAAAGGGAAAAGAAGCAGAAUAGUAGAAAAGAAUCUCUAGUGUAUAAAGAUAGAUUAAAAACUAUUAAGAAAAGCACAAAACUUUAAACAGAGACACCGACAAACAGAAAACUGCCUUUAUUGCAUUGACAAAACACUCAAAAAAUUCUGAAAAAUCCUAAAUUUUAAUUAAAAUCCUAAUGUUUGUGGUGAAUACUCUGACAAGUGGAUUCUGAGAUGUAUUUGGAAGUGUAAAAGACCAGGGAAAAGUAAUAUUCUUUAAGAACAGGGUGGCUAAUAGGCUUAUCAAAAACAAGUACUUCAACAUAGUAGUCAUUAAUACAAUGUAGAACUGAUUCAAGGAGAGACUUAACUGGCUAGUGGGAUAGAAAUGGAUGUCAGAAAAUAGCCUACCCAUGGACACUUGCAAUGUAUUAAAGGCUUACUUAUCAUGAGAUGGCCUUUUAAAUGACACAUUCAAGGACAAGGAAAUUCACAUGGGGAAAACACUGAACUGGGCCCUUAAUUUUCUCACAGCGUACAUUGAAAACACAUUCUUGGUGUUUCAGGGCUUAUGACAAGUAGAACUAGAAGGACCAUAGGCCUGGAUAUAGAAGAAUAUCUACAUUGCUUUGGGGUAGAAUAACUAAGAAGCAAUAAUCAAAAAGAAAAAUAGCAAUUUAGACACAUUCAGAGUCAAAACCUAGAUAUCUAAAUACAUUUUAAAUAGUAAAAAGGGAUUCAAAAAUGAUAAAACAUAUAAAAAGUUAGGUAAAUCAGUAAGAACAAAUAGAUAAGUCUGGUGGCGCAGGUCUGUAAUCGUAGCUACCUAGGAAGCUGAGGAAGAAGAAAUAUUAUGUUCAGGACCUUGCUGGGACAACAGUGAGUCAAGAUAACUCUCAAAGAGCAAAAUGAGGGCUAGAGAUGGCUCAGUGGUAGUGUCUUCCCACUAGGUAUAAGACCUUAGGUUUAAUUCUCUAGUACUGAAAAAAAUGACCUAACCGAAAAAUAAGCAAGACACCCUACACCCACCCCCUUCAAAAUGAGACAAGAAUUCAAAAGCGUGAUGAGCUUAUGGAAAGGUGUUGUGCCUGACUAGCAAUCAGGGAAAUAUAAAUAAACUCAGGAGCUCAUGGCCCAAGGGGCCAGCAGCAGACUUCCAGCAGGAAACUAUACAGACAUUACUUAGUCAUAGCUGGAAGAAGGGCUCAAGUAAAGGGCUCUGUGCCUGUGACAUCCUCAGAGAGACCAGGGAAAGACCUGUAAACCUUGAGGAAUGUGUGCACAUGAAGAGGCCCACAGGUCUGGGACGUGGUGGGAGUAUGUUACUGUUCCCAUUCUAGAGACUCAGGGCUGAGAUUCAAGUGUACUGGGUUAUAUUAUACACUUGUCAAGUCACAGCUACAACUUCAUCCAGGAUUCAAAUGUUCUUUUGGAAAAAAAAAGAAAAAGAACACAAAUACAUAUUUCAGUACUUGCAUCACUUGUAUACACAAGAAAGGAGAAGCAAAGAGGUGACUGGAAGAGGGGGCUGUGUUCUACACACCCAGAAUGACAAGUGCCAUCUCCAAGCCUGAGGGCCCAGGGUGAGCCCCUCAACUCCUGAGAAAGGCUCUGUCCUGGUAUUAGGAAAUUAAAAUGUGCACAUCAGUUGGCUGUCCACAGCGGGCGGGGCCUGCACCUGCCAGAGAGGAAUGUGGACUCUUUGGUUUAAUCCUGGGAAGGGUUCAUGGGGCCCCUGCAGUGAGGGUCAGAGAGGGGCUCAGCACAGUUGUUUUUCCAAGUCAAAAGGAGAGACUGUUGUCUGCUAGGCAUGUUUCAGAGACUUUAGGGGUGCUUCUCUUUCAUGGGAGAAACACUAUUCAGGACUGCCACCCACUUUAUAUUUGGAUCUGUACUCACAGCAAGGUCAGACAUCUCAAAGAUUCUGAAAGGGAGUUGAGAGGGCAGGGUUUCAACUUAAACACACUGGUGGUGCUCCUCUUAGGCAAGAGCUUGGGGCAAGUAUUGUGUUCUAAGAAGCCCCAUUGGGCACUUCAUCUCUGAAGAGCCCAGAGUUUGUCUUUCAUGAAGAUAUAAAAAGAUAGCCCAACUGCAGAACAAACUGAGACCAUGGUGAAUGUGACAAGGGUCAUAUGACCACUUAGACCCUGUGUAGAGGAUACUAGAGCAAUGUCAGGUGUUCUCUUCUGAACCAACCAAUGUCAGUGUACCUGGUCCUGGAGGAAAAGUACUGUUUCCUAGUGACAGUGAAGUCACAUUUUCCUAAAACGAUUCUAGUUUUUGAUGCUUUCAUUCCUUGGCUGCUUCUGUCUUGUCAGAGCCAGAAUCUGGACCUAAGUGUGCAGGGCAGAACAAAACAAUUUUGUUUUCUAGGAAAAUGGGAGGUCUGGAAUGGCGAAUGUAGCCUCAGGCGUGGCAACUGCCCCAGCUGGGACUACCCACUGCCAAGUUUCACCCUCUCUCAAGAGAACCAAAACCAGACUGUACGCAGCAUCUUCCUUCUCAGCCAAAGGGCCUACUCGUUAGGGUGAUUUGCAUUGUACUUAAGCAUUGAAAAAAAAAAAAGACUGGAAGGAAAUAGAUCAAAAUGUGGUAUGUUUGCCUGUGGAUUAAAGGACUUCAAAUGAUUUUCAUUUCCUUCCUUAUAGUAUAUGUAUUUUCUAUUUGAAUGAAUGACACAUUUAGAAGUCAGAAAAACAUUAGUUCAUACAAGCCUCCUGUAUUUGCCUUGCCCUCCUCAUCCUGGGGUUAGCACAAUGCAUCUAAGUGUCCUUACUCAGCCACCUCCUCCAGUCUGUCCUUAAGAUGCCCAAGAGACCCAAUGACACAGAGCUCCUACUUCCCAAGCUCUCCAUGACCUUCCCUUUCCUAGCUCCAUUACUCCUGCAUUGAGCUCCCAGACUUUCCCUCUGCAUACCCGAUCAUCUGAGCAUUCCAAGUCCAACUCUCUGCAAGGCCCCAGGCCACCCUGUUGCCCACUGCCCUCUGCUGAGACUUGCUGGUGUCAGUAACUUCACCCAGCUGCUCACCCCUGCCCUCCUCCUCCUCCUAACUGAUUAUAAUCCUGCCUGAUCUCCCAGAUGUAACCUAAACCACCUUCCUAUGUAAGCUCCCCAAGGCUCUAGAGAUUGCCCCUUCAAUUGCUAUGGGGCUUAUGUGUGCCUGGCCCUCAGCACAGGAACCUUGCUUUCUUCCUCUCCCAUGUCACCUCCGGUGCCUGGCACAGGCAAGUCCCCUGAGCCAGCUCACUCCGAUGGAAUAAACAAGCUGCCUAUGUCCUCCCCUAGCAGAGGCCCUUUCCCUGUCCCCCCUCAAUCAAUUUCCCCGUCUUGGUGGAUUUGCCAAAGCCCUGUGGAUCCUGCACCAUGAAGGAAAAAAAACCCUCCCUAGGGCAUCUGGACAGCUGCAGCCAGGUCCUGCGUGACAUUGCUGAGCUGCAGCCCCACAGCCUGUGCCAGCUGCCCAUGCCCUGUUCACAGACCCUGAGCCAGACCAGACCCAACACCACCUGUGUCUUCACUCAGAGGGGAGAAGUAAGAGACAAGGACAGAAAGUGUAAAAGCUAUUCCCACAACAGCUGCCAGGAACAAGGCGAGAGUGCAGUGUAAAUGUAUAUUCACAGCUGGUACCCAGUUCCGCUUAGGAAAAUACCUUGCUUGAGUGGACACCUGUUGUUUUUGCGAACUCUGCAACCAGGCCUGGCUUCUGGAAAUAGUUCACCGAAUCUUCCUUAAAGGGGUCCUCAUUUCCUACUCCCCAGUGUGUAAGAUUUAGGAAUUCAUUGGCUAUUUCCAAAGGGGGCUUUGUGGCUGGAUCACAACUUCAGAAACAUAGUUGCACUUAUAAAGAUGGCUUGUACUUUGGUUGGGAGCAUUGAGAGCCUAGCCUGAGCCUGUGGCAGAAAUCAUUUGGAAAAAGUCUGGCAUCUUUCUUCUGGUACAUGUAAACUAGUGGACAUCUUACAUUUAUUGGAAAGUAAGUGUUUAAGGACACAGAUGAAUAUAGCUAUGCAUGUAUCUUUAGGCAGAGAGAGGGAAAGAGCACAAAAAGGACAGGGUAGAAGGAGGAGAGAAAGCAUCACCAGACUAGCUCUAGCUGUGUCUGGAACAGCCAGGUUCAGAUUCAUAAACUAGAAAAAUGUCUCAUUGUCCUUAUCUAGAUUGAAAUGGGCUCUGCAGUCUGUUACCAAGAGCACUUAGGAAUAUAAAAAGCUAGGGGUAAGAUAUGAACCUGAGGAGAAGAUAUGAACCUGAGGAGAUAGGUCUGGGGGUAAGUCUAGGUUGCAAAACACAGCAAACAAAACAACAACAAACACCCUAAGACAGUCUUGUUAAGCUUUGCAGAGUAGAAGACAGGAAAGAAGAAGGUUAGCUAGAUAAAUCUGGCCCGAGGCCCCAGCUUCAGCUCUACAUGGGCCAGGAAACUCUGGGAAAGGUGCUUCGUACAGCUGUCCACUGACUUUCUACUGUUAUAAUGCAAACUUCUCUUUAGAGAGCUUCUCUCUCUACCCUGUGUUUGCAGCACUUUAUGGAACAUGCUGUAUUUUGUGUUCAAGCAAAGACUGAGGAUACAUUUAACUUGAGAUGGACAGUGACAUGACAGUUGAAGAUGACCUAUGGAAUCCCAAGAAAUCCUAGGAACAAUGCUAGGCUUUGUGCAACUACAGAGUUCAUAGUGCUGGAGACUUUUCACUGAAUGCCUUUUCUCAUAAUGGAGAUAACAGGCCUAACACAUAAAUCUCAGAGUAAAUGGAAAUGAUUCUGUGGGCCCAAGGGUGGGGUCUGAAUGGUAAGGUGCUAAAGAGGACAGGCAAUGACAGAGCUAGCCCUAAGCAAGCCCAGGAAGCAGAGCAUGAGUAGCACAGCUGCCUGCAGAACAAAAUUAGUCUACCCAGCUUUCCAUGCUGCAAGAAGUCACUGUCCAGGUCUCCCAAGACACAUUUGGAAGGGAAGGUUCCAGGCAGCAAGAGCGGCCCCAGGAAACUUUAAUAUACAAUGGAAUCUGGGUUAAGCACUAUCUUCUCCAAAAGUUGAGCUCACAGGACAUUCCCCAGAAACCUCUGGAGAGGUGGGGAGGAAAGUUUCUGGAGGUCUUUGGACGAAGAAAACAAAAAAGUGGCCUUGAUUUUUCAAGGAGAAAUUACACAGGAAGAAAAAAAUGUUUUUAAUCUAAUUAAGAGCGAUCUUUUCACCUUCAUCACAACAUCACGGAAAUGUGCCAGUUCUUAACUUCACACAAUAAUCAAAGCAAUUAAGGAGAAGCCUUGGAAACUGGUGCAGAUGUUCUCAGAAUGUUUAAUGGGGAAAUGAGUUGCAGGCCUCAUUCUCAGCAUCCGGCUCCAGGCCCUGGCUACCAAAUCCAGACAUCUGCUGGGGCCCCACUCCCAGGCCUGGAGGGUGUGUGCUUGAGAAACACAGGUCUCUUCCCAGGCUGCCUCUAGCGAGGCCAGAUCUGGGGCCCCAGAGGCUCCCCAUGGUUCCUCAAGCCAGAGCCUGGACAUAGUCAGAAUCACCCCAGAGCUAGGGAGAAGCUUAAUGUCAAAAUUAUGUUAACAACUGAUGUCAAAAGUAAUCAACUCAAACUGGCUCCCUCACCCCUGCUGGCUGCAGGAGGACUAUGAGUAGAGGAAGGGGGGGCAAAGAGCCCCUGGCAGGGGCUGGGAGAGACUCUCUUCUUUGACCUCCUCAGCAUGAAGUUCACAUAAAGGUGUGGCAGCAUUGGUGCAGUCUGACUCUGUGUGCUUUGGUUCAAUGUUGCCAAGCUAGACCCGAGAAGCAAAUUAGUCCAUCCUUGAGUAAUUUUCAAAAAUCAGAAACCAUGUAGAAAGGAGGGUGCUGCUCACUUAGUAACUAGCCUGUUUUAGAGAGCAGAAGGGCAUAUGACUAAAGUUAAAUGGCUUGAAAGUGAAGACCUUGAUGUAUGGUUCAGGCAGCUCAUUAAACCACACUGGAAGCCCUGCUGUAUGGUACACACAAAGAACAUGGAAGAAAAGAAAACAUCCCUGGUUUUGAGGACACAUAGGCAGUAUGGGUCCUCACACAUGUACGACAUUUACCAUUCAUACUGUCUUCAUACCAAAGGCUUCUUAAUAAAAGAAAUACCAGAUAUGACUCCAGGGCUUUGUUUAAUGCAGGGUAGGCCAAAGGCAAUGGAAAGAAAUCUCUCAAAGUAAGCCUUCAGUGGCAGUCAAUACUCCAGGUCCACAUUACUGGUAGAUCUUUAAGGAGUGUUGUAAGCUGAAUUCCAGCUGUUCACUAAAUAGACCACUUUCUUGGGAAGUAGCUGGCACAAGUUUCCUGUUAUUCUCUGUCCAUAAAUCUAGCCCCAAAAAAAGUGAUAGGAAGGGGUUAAAGCCUUUAAGAAUGAAAGUAGCAUGAUGCACUUUUUAUCAAAAGAAUUUUUGGGAUUGCUAUGUAUAGGAUGUAGCAAAGGAAAGCCAGGGAGACUUGGGAGGCCAGUGAAGAGUGAAAGGGACAUCCAAACAAACAAACAGACAAACAGACAAACCCCUAAACAAACAUGGUGGCAUUAGCAGGGGAAGAAGCUAUAGAGACCAAGAGUGGGAAAAGUCUAUAUGUGAAAAAGCAUAAUUUUAAAGAUUUGCAGGAAUGUUUGGAGAAUAACAACAUUCUACUCCCCCACCCCAACCCCUGGACUACAAAUCUUCUCACUUACUCAAAAAAUCAGAACAAGCAAUUCAACAACAGUAAGAGCAAAAUAAAACCAUAUAUGAUCUAUUCCUUCAACAGUAGGCCAAAUACAUAGAAAUUACCCAUGAGAGGAGAGUCUGCCCACCAUUGUAUACCUGUGAGUGCAAAAGAAGAGGCCUACGAUGCUCUGUCAAAAGAGUGAGGAUGCUAAGUAGUGUCAACAAAAAUAAGGUUCCCCUCUCCACAGAAAUAUUUUUAUAGGAACUCAGAAUUAAUGUCAGUGAUUAAUUCUGGGAAGCAGUCAGUAAUUCACAGCAACCAAGUGAAUAUCACAAAAAGAAAUGGGCAAUUAAAAAGUGUUAGGGGCCCAGCAAGAUGAUUCAGUGGAUAAAGAUUCUUGUUGCCAAGACUAACAACUUUAGUUCAACCACUGGAAAAAACCCAUUUGGUAGAGGAAAGAACAAGUUUGUGCAAAAAUUACAGGAACUUGGGACAUUUUCACUUGUCCUUAAAUACUCAUCUUCCCUCUACUAAGCCUGGUUUGGUGGCACUGUUGCAGAUGAUAGGUAGUAUGGACCCUGGUCCUUGUUUCUGAAGUGUGCAGUACAGACCUUGUCUAAAAUAAUUAUUUAUGUUUUAAAAUAAUUUUUUUUGUUUUAUAUUGUUUGUGGGUAGCCUGAAAGACUGACUUAAGGUGUUUUCAUUUUCCCCCCAAAUAGUAAUUGCGAAUUUUCUCAGUGUGAAAAAUAGUGGACAGUACUUGCAAACGCUGUAAGACCUUCAGAGCAGUUAUAAUGACUUGAGCAAAGAUCAGUGGUUGAAGCACACAGCGGCCCACUGAAAAGCCUCAGAAGGCAAUCUAGAGAGAGCUUCCUUGGAAUUUUAGAGCAUUUAAAAUAAUAGUAUGUGCUAAUAACUUACAAAACAUGCACAGAGCUAGAUGCUAAGAAGAGCCCUGACAAUACUACAAACCAGUAUCUAUGAUAGAUUUCUAUACGUAAGUUACCUCAAGCUACAAGUGAAAGCAAAGACAGGAUUGUUAAUAGUCUGUCCAAAUAUUGAAGGAAAAUUCCAGUUUAGUUAAUUUACAAAAGCUGGACGAAUCCUGCCCUCCUCUUAUACCUCGCUGUCAUAAUGAACUGAACAUAAAUGAAAGGAACAGAACUUCAAAGACCACACAUAACUUCACAAAAGAAAAAUAGCUUGGGAAUAAAAAAAAAAAGCUUAAAACCACUUAAAUAGCAUUAAAAAAUCUGGAGGCAGAAAAGAAUCUAAUGUCCACAGUUAUAAUAUAAAUAAUUGAAAAUAUAGAGCUUUAAACAAAGAAAAUAUGGACUAUACAGAGAAACAAUAACAAAGUUCCUUCCCACAGAAAGCCGAAAGAAGUAUAGACACACUGUACUUAACUUGACAAAAAAAUAAUUUUUAAUUAGGCUAGGAAUGUUUCAGCUGGAAAAGGGUCUUGAUACUUAAGCCCUGUGACCUAAGUUUGAGCUCCGAUCCCAUAUAAAGGUAUAAGGAAAGAACUACAUAAAAUCAGCCCCUAACCUAGAAAUGGGCACCAUGGCAUGUACAGUAAUCUCAUUGAUAAUAAAAUAAAAUUAGUCUAAGUUAUGCUGAAAGAUAAAAAGAAAAUGAUAAAGAACUAAAGAAAACAAAGAAUAUGAAGAAUGAGAUAAAAUUAGAAAAUGGAAUUAAACAAAUUCUAGAACUGAAAAGUAUUAACAAAUGAAAAAAUCCAUUAGAGGGUUUCAUCAGCAGAUCUGAAUGAUAUAAGAAUCAGUGGACUUAAGGAUCAAGUCUGAGCACCAGGGGGGGAAAAUGAGCAUUUCAAGAAUUCUAUGGUAAACUACCAAGUAUGCUAAUAUCUUUGUUGGAAAUCCCAAAAAGUAGGUGAAAGAAGGAGCAGGAAGAAGAAUUGACCUAGUGGCUAUGCCUCCCCAAAUUUGAUUAAAGACAAAAAUUACUAUGUACAGGAACAUAAGCAAAAGGACCCAGAAAUGAUAACUGAGUCACAGAAAAAUACACUAUCAAUUAUUGAAAGGCAGAACAGACGUUAAAAAGAAAAAAAAAAAGACUUUGCUUGUCAUGUAGUGAUUCUCAAUACAAUUAAUGUGUUUGUUAUCAGCAAGUAUAGAGUCGACUGAGAAUGGAAUAGCAUUUUUAAGUACUGAGAGAAAAAAAGUCUGUCAACCAACAAUUUUAUAUACAGCAAAAUUAUUCAAACAUGGAGAAAUAAUGAGCUUAAGAGCUUCUCAAAUGAAUAAAAGCUGGGAAGCUCAUACUAUAUUGGCUCUACAAAAACUAUUAGAGAAAGUAAUACAGUUUCAAAUAAGAAAGGACUAGAAAGUAACUGGAAACCACAUAGAGAUGCCCAGACCUUGAGGACCAGGUAGCUAUGUAAAACAUAAAAGCCAGUAUUAUAUAUAAUAUCUAAGUUUUUAAUGUUUAUUAUUUUUGUGAUAAAAGAACAUGAUAUAUACAUCUGGCAUAUAUAUCAUAUGUCUUUGGAUAUAUUCAUGCAAUAGAUAUAAAAUUUGAAACCAUGUAGAAUUGAAGGAGAUAGAGCUGUAUAGGAUCUUGAAUUAAUUUGUAAAAGUUGGAAGAAUCCUGCCCUCCUUUUUACCUGCUAUAAUGAACUAAACCUUAAUGAACCAAAUCUAAAUGAAAGGAACAAUAUUGAAACUAUGUUGGCAUAAACUCAAUCUAGAAUUUUGUAAAGUUAAGUGUAAUUAAUUCUCAUCAAAAUUAUUCAGAAAACAUCUGGAAAAGUAUAAAUCUCAACAUGUAAACAGCUUAGAAAUUACAGUAUCUCAACAAGUAAAAUGGUGAGUUGACUGAAAAGUCGAUUCCAUUUCUGUAUCAGAAAUGAAAAGAGUAAAACAAUGCCUUCAAAAUGAGGGGGGGAGGUGAUGGGAGAUUGAAGGAGAGAGACAGGUAGACAUGGAGAAUCAGAACAUAUUACAGUAGACAUUGCUGGAAUCAGCUUGGCUAGAAAAACCUAAUUUGUGAUUUAACUGCUGGAGUUUAGAUGUAGAUAGAUGUAAGAACUAAAAAGUCAAAGGCACUAAGUUUUGGGAAGAGCCUUAACGUUUUCAUGAAGUACUUCAUCCAGGAGUUUGAUCAGAUUCUCAAUGCGAGUAGUAGAGAAAAAUUCCCUUGAAACUUUCAAUAUUGGGAGGGAGGAAAGCCAUUCUGAAAACAAACAAUAGUGUUUUUCGUCAAGGGUUUACCUUCAGGGAAAGUUAGUUUACUAGAUCUUAGCCAGCUAGGAUUUAUCACAAGCUAACUGAACUGACCUAAAGCAAUUCAAAUUAACUCUAGAUUUCUUGUGGAGUAGAAAUAACCAAACACCAGACCAGUUCACUUUAGCCAUCCUAUACCACCCAAGAAAAAAUAUUGAAGAAUGGUUGUGACAUUCAGUCAAGAGGCUCAGUAAAAGUGAGACCUAAACACAGAACUAUAGAAUGUUUCUUAUAUACGAAACCUUUCUGUAUUGUUAAUAAUGCCCAUUCAAUAGAAGUUCCUUUUGUCUGAUACAUCAUAUGUGCUGUCCACCUAUUGAAAAAAAUACAAGGAUUCUAAGAGACAUUAACUUUUUAAAACAUAGCAGACAUUUCAGAUAUGUUGAAAUUAUCGGAGAUAUUUGAACUAUAAAACUAAGGACAACAUCCAAGGACAAUAGCAAGGAAGGAACCAAACUCAUAGGGAAAACACAAAAAGGGCUGGGAACCAGCAAUAGCAAUGUAUGAAAAAUACCCUCUGUAGACUCAUUUGAUUGCACACAGAUGAGAAAAAAAAAAUCAGAGUAUCUUUUUGUACAAACAACAAAAACUAAAAGACAAAAAUGAACAAAACAGUGAGAAUUUGGCUGAGUUGGUUAAGUGUUUGUCUUAUAUAUGUAGGACCUGAGUUUGGCUCCCAAGUAAAAAAGUUAUCUAGUUAUCUCCAUUCCUGGGGCAGCAUUAGAAGACAUGUCAAUCCCUAAGAAUACUAGAAAUAGUCAUAUAGAAGCCAAAAACAAAACAAAAAUAAAAAACAAAUAGAAACCAUUUGAAACAACAGGAACUAAAAAUUUCCCCUAAAUUAUUAUCAUACAUUAAACAGUUCAGGAAGCUGAAAGAAUACCAAACAGGAUUAAUAACAAAACUUGCAUCUAAACAUAUCAUUAUCUACAGAAAAUCAAAUAUUUAAAAAGCCCUACAGGAACACCUACUAUAAAAUAGCAAUAGUACAAACCACAUCCAAUCUGUCCUCAGAAGCAAGAAGAGCGAAAUAACAGAACAAAACAAAUCGCUAUAUAUCAUUCUGCACUCUGCAAUUGUCUUAAGAUUGGCCAGUUAGGUAAGAUUUUGUUCAAAACAUCUAAAAAUGUGUUUAAUUAUGUUUAUGUAUACUUAAUUGAAAUGAAUGGUACCAGUGAUUUAUAGAGGAGUUAAUGGUUACUUUAGGUCAUACAAUGUAUGAAUUGGUAUGGUAUGAUUUGAAAGAGGGCUUAGAUUAGUUGAAAAUGUAUACAAGAUCCAGAGAAAUCACCCCAAAAUAAUGCUAGUAAACAAACUUUUCCAAAAACAGUAUUGCAAAUAUAUAGCAAAACAAGUUUGUAGUUACAGGUUGUAUCUUAGCAGCCUCCUGGGUCCAUUGUACCAGAAUCCCACAUAUAAAUCUCAUGUUUACAGUAGAUUUCAGAUUGGGAAAUCUGUUUUGCAUAGUCAUUGUUAUUUAAUAAGUAUCUUCACCCCAUUUUGUGGCAAUGCUAGUAGAGGAAAGUGAAUUGCUACUGAGCUAUAUCUCAAGACACUACCAUACCUUUCUAAUUGCACAAGCUCUAAUGCCAUCACACCUAAAAGAAGCUCUGAAUUAAAUACAAUAUAGUUCUUAACUCGUAGGUAUUACCUAAGAGACUUAAAGUGAUUUUUGAGCAGGCUAAAACCAACCAGCCACCACUACCAAAACAAAAGAUAUCUGCUAACAAGCCAUCAGAUAGGAUAUAUCUAGUAGUAUUCCUGUUGUUGCCAUUGAUAGAAAAACAUAUCUCUCCCAGAACAUGAGAAAUAUGAGAAACAAAUUAGAGUAGGAUAAGGAAGGGAGAGUUGCUAUAUUUUCUUCUUGUUUGGGAGAGAUAGCUAUUUGUCAAAAGAAACCAACAUAAUACUAGAUAGAAACAUACCUCUCCGGAAUUAUAAUCUUGGUAAAGAGAAAAUUGGAAUAGGAAGGUGUGUUGACUUUCUGCAGCACAACUCUGUUUAGGGGAAAUGUCUGUUUGUCUUACCUGGCUUCUUGUAAAAGUAUGGUAGAUAAUAUGGCCCAUGAUAAUCUGAUUUCAAAGUUCCUAUCAAAGUAAGAUCUGCUUAUUCUCUAUAACCCUGUGGAUGAAGCCAUUUCAGAUAAAGAUGAGCAAAGGGUUACUAUGCUUUGAAGAAAAAUUACAGUAUUCAAAGAGAUCUUUAAGCCCAGACAUUGGAUUUACUAGACAUAUACUUAAAGCAAUUAUUUUAAAGAGUUAAAUAUAUUGGUAAACAUAAUAAAAAUAUAAGCUACAGACUAGGACAAAACAUUUAAAAAAUAUAUAAGGAGCUUCCCAAAACUUAAAAGGGCUGGGAAUGUAGCCUCACGACAAUAGGGUACUUGUCUAACAUGAACAAAACUUAAAAUUCUAUCCUCAUAAAUUGAAAAAAAUAUGUGUAUGACUGAAUUUUGCUUUCUGAUUUGAAAAACACCCAAACAAUAUGAAGUUAAUGAAUGGCAACUUUACCAAUAUGCAUCAGUUUUGCAGGAGAAACACCUCCAUUUAGCAUAGAUGUUAAAGACCCACAUCUUAAAUCCAAUCUCUAGAAGCACAAUGUUGAUGAAAGAAAGCCAGGCUUCCAAAGAACAUCAUCCCAUGCCUGAGUCAGUUUAGUAAAAUCUACAAAACUGGCCAAUGCAAAAUGAGCGCUAUUGUGAAGGAUAAAAAGACAAUGAAGAACAAGCAAUGGUAAGAUUAUGUUAGAUCAUCAAUUUGAGUACAUUGAUGAGAACUUCAAAACUAUCUAAGAAUGUGCAGUGAGGGGGGUAGGUAUCUUUUUGCCAUAUUCUCAAAUGAAAAAGCUUUAAAAAUGAAACAUUUUAGUUUAAACAUCUUAUUUCUUGAGGGUCUAAAAGAUUCUAAAGUUGUCAAUGUUCACUGAAACAAAAAAGAUGGUAAUCACAUGGAAAUGUCUUUUGUAAGAGGUUAAUAUACAGGGACCUCUUAGUUUUCACAAAGGUAGGAUUUAUGGGCAGGAUGAUAAACUUGUUUUCCUGAUAGACUUUCUUUUCCAGACUUAACAGGCAUAUGAGGAAAAAUGGUACACUGAGGCUAUGUAUAAGAAGAUAAUAGGCAACCUAAACAGAAAGCACCAUGCUUGGAUGGAUUUACUGAUAAAUUCUGACAAAUCUCAACUAUUUAAUGGAAGAAUGUAUACUAAAGGUUCUACAGUGUCUUUUAGAAGGUAGGAAAUAUUGCUUAACUCAUUUGUUGAGACCAAUGUUGCCCUUAUUUCUGUAGCAAACAACACAUUCCAAACAAGCUAAAUACCAGUAACUCAUGCUGUAUGUGUAAAACAAUACACUACGCAACAUUAAUAUGCCAAAUCCAAAAAUACCACAACUGCUCAGUGCUAUGGGACAUUAAAAACUAAGGUAAGUUAUCACAAGCAUAAAAUAAGUCACAGGAUUAUGUCACCAGACAGAAAUAUACAUCCGACAAAAAUCUUGACCAACCCAUGGUAAAAACAACAACUUUGGAACAUUUAGCCUCAGGUACGUAAUCAUAAGAAGUAAAAAGAACUUUUAUGAUUAUAUCACUGGAUACAUAUGAAUCUGACAAAAUUCUUUACUAACACAUGAUUAAAAAAAGGACCCUUGGAACAUUACCAAAUCAGGUAAGUAAUCACAAGAAGAAAAAAAAUGUUACAUGACAUGAUUAUAUUUCUGGAUACAAUAAUUCAUCUAGCAAAAUUCUUUACUAACUCAUGAUGUUUAAAAAGCCGUUUGGAACAUUAAAAAGUCAGGUAAGUAAUCACAAGAAGCAAAAAGAAGUUACAUGAUUAUAUUAUUGAAAUGCAUCUGGAAAAAUUUUAUAUCAAUUUUUAAAAAGCCCUCUAGAUUAUUAAAACCUCAGGUAAGUAAACACAAGAAGCAAAAAGAUGUUACAUGAUUAUAUAACUAGACAAAAAAUUUGACAACAUUCUUUACCAACUCAUGAUCAAAACAAAGAGCAUUAAAAUCUCAGGUAAGUAAUAAGCCAAAAGAAGUUACAUACUUAUUCACUGGAUACAAUUACCAACUCAUAAUAAAAGUAACAACAACCAACAACAACUCUACACAUUAAAAACUCAGGAUAGGGUUCACAAGACCCAAGGAAAAAAAAAAAGGUCUGACAACAUUAUUUACUAACUCAUGAUUAAAACAAAACAAACAGGAAAACUUCUGGAACAUUAAAUACUCAAGUAAGUGAUCACAAGAAGUAAAAAUAUCACUGGACACAAAAGUGCAUCUGAGAAAAUUCUUUAUUAACUUGUGAUUUAAAAUAAAGAAAAAGAAAAGAAAACCAAACAACUGGGGAUCAUUAAAAACUCAGGUAAGUGAUCAUAAGAAACAAGAAGCAAGAAAUAAGUUACAGAAAUCUGACAACAUUCUUUACCAAUAAUACCAAACAAAAAAUAAGCACACACAAAACCCUCUAGAAUAUUAAAAACUUAGGUAGCUGAUCCCAAGACACAUGAAGCAAAAAAGAUAUUACAUGAAUAUUUCACUACACACAAAAACCUGACAACAUUCUUUACCAACUCAUAAUACAAAACAGAAAAAAAAAGCAUACAUAAGACAUCUGGAGCAUCAAAAGCUCAGGUAAAGAUGACAAGAAGCAAAAAGAAGUUACAAGAUUAUAUCACUGGACACAAAAAUGCAUCUACAAAAUUCCCUAUCAACUCAAGAUAAAGGAAAGAAAAGAAAAACCUAACAACUCUGGACCAUUAAAAACUCAGGUACAUGAUCACAAGACAGAAGCAAAAAAGAAAUUACAUGAUUUCACUGACACAAAAAUGCAUCUGACAAAAUUCCUCAUCAACUCAAGAUGGAAGACAAGAAAAACCCAACAACUCAGAAACAUUAAAAACUCAGGUAAGUGAUCACAAGACGCACACACACACACACACACACACACCCCACAGGAAGUUACAUGAUUAUUUCAGUAGACACAGAAACCUCACAUUCCUUAUCAACUCAACAUAAAAAACAGAAACAAAGCAAACACAAAAACCCUCUGAAACAUUAAAAACCAUGGUAAGUAAUCAAAAGACACACACACAAAACAACAAGAAGUUACAUGAUUAUUUCACUAGACACAGAAACAUGACAACAUUGUUUACCAUCUCAUAAUACAAAACAAACACAAAUCCUUUGGAAUAUUAAAAAAUCUCAUGUAAGUGACCACAAGAAGCUUAAAGAAGUUACAUGAUUAUAUCUUUGGACAUAUGCAUGCAUCUGAUGAUUUUUUAUCAACUCAUGGAUUUAAAAAGGGGGGAAAAUAAAACCCAACAACUCUGGAACAUAAAAAACAAAAAGUUACAUGAUUAUUUCACUAGACACAGAAAUCUGACAUUUACCAACUCAUAAUACAAAACAGAAGCAAGGGCUAGAAAGAUGGUUCAGUGGUUAAGAGCACUGACUGCUCUUCUAGAGGUCCUGAGUUCAAUUUCCAGCAACCACAUAGUAGUUAUAUAUCCAUCUAUAAUCUGACUCUCUCCUGACGUGUCUGAAGAGAACAACAGUAUGCUGAUAUACAUAAAAUAAAUCUUUUUAAAAACAAGCAAAACACAGAAACCCUCUGGAAACUUAAAAAGGUGAUCACAAGACACAGAUAGGCAAAAUGAAGUUACACGAUUAUUUCACUAGACACAGAAACCUGACAUUAUAAACUCACAAUAUAGGAACAAAACAAACACAAAACUCUGGAACAUUAAAAAACUCAGGUAAGUAAUCACAAGAAGAAAAAAAAAGUUACAUAAUUAUUACUGGACACAAGCAUGCAUCCAACAAAAAUUUUUUAUCAACUCAUCUCAAAAACCCCAAGAACAUUGGAAUAUUAAAAGCUUAUAUAAGUGAUCACAAGACCCAAGAAGAAAUAACGAAGUUACAUGAUUACUUCACUAGACACAGAAAUCUGACAACAUUCUUUAUCAUCCCAUAAUACAAAACAGAAACAAAAAGACCACACAAACCCCUGGAACAUUAAAAACUGGUAAGUGAUCAGAAGAGACAAGAACCAGAAAAGAAAUUACAUGUAUGUAAUUUCACUACAUACAGAAACCUGACAACAUUCUUUAUGAACUCAUAAUACAAAGCAAAAAAGGCACACACAAAACAUCUGGAAUAUUAAAAACUCAGGUGAGUGAUCACAAGAAGCAAAAGGAAGUUACAUGAUUAUAUCACUAGACACAAAAGUGCAUCUGACAAAAUUCCCUAUCCAAAAGAAAAAAAAAAUCAGUAAACACUAUAAGGACGUCAUUACCUUUGUAAAUACCAUUUACCAAAAGUAUAUACCAAACAUAAUUGACAGGAAAAAAAGGGGAGGUAAGGAUGGUGCCCACUCAUUUUUCAAAAUCUUGUGGAAAACUCCUAAGUAAUGGACCAAAAUAAAGGGAAUAUAUAUUUUGUUUAAAAGGAGCAAAGUUUUGUUUUAAGUGGCAUUAUCUAUGUAGAUAAUAUGAAAGGACACAUAUACAAAUUCUGCAACUAUUAAGGGACCACAGCAAGGUUACAUGACUCAAAAUAUACAAUAAUCAGUUACUUUCCUAUAUGCCCCAAGUUAACGAGUGGAAUUUGAAACAAAGUACAUUAUUGCUUUGGCAUCACCAAAAUAAACAGAUAAAAAUAUGUACAAUAUAUUUUCAAUAUUUAACAUAUUGAAAAAUUCAAUAUUGCCAGAUGUCCAAUAACCCAUGCUGAUCCCCACAUUAAAUGCAACCUUAAGCAAACACAAAUGUUUUAUCAGUAUUGGAAAAUGGACUCUAAGGCUACUGUGGAGGAAAAGGAUAGAAUAUGAAACAUAAUAUUAAAGGAUAAUUUAAAAUUAACCUAUUUUAAUGCAUUGCUGUAAAGCUUUGGGGAUCCAGAAACUAUAUUACUUGUAAAAGAAUAGGUAAGUAAAGAUGAAAGGAAAAGAAAAUAGCAUGUUAAAAUACAAUCUAAGUUCACUCAACUAAUCUGUAGUAAAGGAACAAAAAUAAGAAUGGAGAAAAAUGUUCUUUUUUUUUCAACAAAUGGUGAUAAAAUAAUGAUAGCCACAUGGAAAAUGUAAGAAUCUAGAUACAGACUUUAUACCCAAUAAAUAAAAAAUAAGUUGAGAAUGGAUCGCAGACAUCAAUGUAAAAGUAGAAAAUAGAAAAUAUCUUCACAUAAUACAGACCUAAAAAAAUUCCAAACCUUGCACUAAAGAACUAAGUCAUUUUGCAUUUGUAGUUUGAUAUUAAGAAAAAAAAACAUGUUAAACUGUUGCCACCUCUAUUCAACAUAAUGGUGAAUGGUUUAACUGGAUCAAAUGGAUUAGCUGGACACAUGUAAAUUGGAAAGGAAGUAAUAAACAAGAUUCCUCAUAAGAUUGUAUAUGGUAAAUUCAGUAGUGCAAAAGAAUAUCAGUACACAAGUUUCAUUUCUAUACAUCAAAAUUGAUAUUUAAGAGUACCAUUGACAUAAUUUCAUUUGAGGCAGCACUAUGUUAUCCACAGCUUUGAUGGCCAGGCUACCUCGUAAUUAUUCUUGAUUUCAUAGAUGAUAAAUCUGAAAAACUAUAUUGUUUUGCCCUUACUACAAUAGGAACCACUGCAUCCAACCAAUUCUUGAUUCUUGCACUUAAAUAGGUCUUAGCUCAUUCAUACCAGAUUGUAAAUACAAUGGAUGUAUGCCAAAAUUAAGGAACACUGUCCCAAUAUAAUGAGAAAUACUAAAAACCCAAAGAGAGCCGGGAAGAUAUCCAUUUGGUAAAGCAUUUGGCAAAAUGCUUUUAAAGCAUGAGGAUCUGAGGGUGAGCCCUGGAACUCAUGUGAAAAUGUCAUGUAUAUUGGAUGUUUGCAGUCACAGUGAUGGAAUGGAAGGAAGAGAAUCCAAAGAGUUUAGUAAUUUGGCAGUCUGGCCUAUUUGGUCAAGUCGAGACUAUCUCAAUGGAGGUGGAUAGCAUUUCUAGUUAAGAAAGUGGAGGCUGUCCUCUGACUUAGAACACAUGAAUAUGCACAAACAUGCACCUACAUAUAUAUCUUUGUAUAUAAAAGAACAAGGCCAUUAUCAAAGAAAUACAAGUCAUGUUCCAGUAACCGACUCCAAAAAACCAGGCACAUUAACUUAGUGACAAUUUAAAAUGAGUUAAGAAUAGCCAACUAAAAGAGAACUGGGAGAGUACAAUCUGAAAAACAAUACAUGAACAAAUGAGUUUCAAUAAAGCUAUAGAAAGCAAAGCCAAAUUCUGGAGGUGAAGAAUACAGUGAAAGGAAAAUUGUAAGACUGGCUCAAAACAAGAUUUUUCAAUUAAAACUGGAAACCUUGACCUUGAAAAGAACACUUGGACCAAAUGGAUUUAACAGAUCUAUAGAACAUUUUAUCUCAAAACAAAAGAAUAUAUCCUCUCAGCACCUCAUGAACCUUCUCCAAGAUUGGCCAAAUAAUCACACACAAAAAGCCUUAAAGAAUCCAAGAACACUGAAGUGAUUCCAUGCAUUCUAUCAGAUCACCACAGACUACGGCUGGACUGAAAUAACAACAAAAACAAUGAAAAUCCCACAUACUCAUGGAAACUGGAUGCUCUAGUCAAUGAUAACUUGGUCCAGGAAAAAAUUUAAAACUUUCUAGAAUUCAAUGAAAAUGAAAGCAUAGCAUACCCAGACUUAAUGGGACACAAUGAAAGCAGUGUUGAGGACAAUAGCACUAAGCGCCUUCAUAAAGAAACUGAUCCUAUACUAGAAACUUAUAGCACACUUGAAAGCUCUAAAAUGAAAAGAAGUAAACACAUCCAAAGGGAGUAAAUGGCAAUAAAAGCCAAACUCAAGAUUGAAAUCAACCUAUUAGAAACAAACAAAAUACAAAAACUCAACAAAACCAAGAGCUGGUUCUUUGAAAAACACCAACAAGGUAGAUAAACCCUUAGCCAAACUAUCUAAAGGGAACAGAGCCAGUAUUCAGUUUAACAAAAUCAAAAAUGUAAAGUGAGACAUUGAGGAAAUUGAAAAAAAACAUUAGAUCUUACUACAAGAGACUUAACAAAACUGGAAAAUCUAGAUGAAAUGGUUGGCUUUCCAGACAGAUACCAUGUACUAAAGUUAAAUCAAGAUCAGGCAAACUAAAACAAGAACAAACAAACAGAAAAAACAACCAAACAAACUACAAAAAAAACAAAACAAAACAAAACAAAAAAAAACAGCCCAGCACCAGAUGGUUUUAGUGCAGAAUUCUACCAGCAUUAAAAAACGAGCUAAUACUAAUACUCAAACUAUCCCACACAAUAGAAACAGAAGGAACACUACCUAAUUCAUUCUGUGAAGGCACAGUUACUCUGACACCUAAAUCACACAAAGACCCAACAAAACUUCAGACCAGUUUUGCUUUUGAAUAUUGACACAAAAAUACACAAUAAAAUUCUUGCAAAUUCAAUCCAUAAACAUAUCAAAGCCAUCAUUUACCAGGAUCAAGUAGGCUUCAUCCCAGGGCUUCAGGAAUGGUUCAAUAUAUGAAAAUCCAUAAACAUCAUCCACCAUAUACACAAACAGAAAAAAAAAACAUGAUUAUCUCAUUAGAUCCUGAAAAAGCCUUUGAUAUUAAAAUUCUUGGAGAGAGCAGGAAUUCAUGGCACAUAUCUAAACAUAAUAAGAGCAAUAAAUAGCAAACUGACAACCAACAUCAAAUUAAAUGGAGAGAAACUUGAAACAAUCCCACUAAAAUCAGGAACAAGUCUUCCCACUCUCUCCCUGUCUUUAAUAUAGUACUCAAAAGUUCUAGCUAGAGUAGUUAGACAACAAAAGAAUUAAGGGGAUAUAAAUUGGAAAGGAAGAAGUCAAUUUAUUACUAUUUGCAGAGAACUCCUACAGCUGAUAAACAACUUCAGCAAAGUGGCUGGAUACGAAAUUAACGGAAACAAAUCAGUAGCCUUCCUUUAUAUAAAUGAUAGAUGGGCUGAGAAAGAAAUUAGGGAAACAAAACCCUUCACAAUAGCCACACAUAAUAUAUCUUGGUGUAACUUUAACCAAGUGAAAGAUCUGAAUGACAAGAAGGGGAACGGGGAGUGGGAGAGAGGAACCUGAUCUUGUAUUGGGUGAGGGAAAAGGACUGAAGCCCCAAGGGCCAGCAGAAAGAAUGUAAACAGGCAUCCUCAGGAAAUAGGAGGUUGGGGGACCUCUCCCCCCAGAACGUACCAUUGACCUGGGAGGUGAAAGACUUCCAGGACUCAAAGUGAGGGACCUUAGAUGAAAUGCCUGACAGUAGAUAGAGGGAACUUAUAAAGCCCACCUCCAGCAGGAAGACAGGACAUCAAGUGAGGGAUAGGAUUUCCAUCCCACAGUCACACAUCUGACCCAAAAUCGUUCCUGUCUGAAAGAAUUACAAGGAUGGAAAUGGAGAGGAGCCUGAGGAAAAGAAGGUCCAUUGACAGGCCCAAAGUGGGAUCCAGCUCACGGGGAGAUCCCAAGGCCUGACACUACUACUAAGGCUAUAGAGUGCUCACAACAAGGGAUCUAUUAUGAAUGCUCUCUGAAAGACCCAAAAAAACAGCUGAAAGAAGCAGAUGCAGAUAGUUGCACCCAACCAAUGGAAAGAAGCAGUUGACCCCUGUUGUUGAAUUAGGGAAGGCUGACAGAAGCUGAGGAGAAGGGUGAUCCUGUAGGAGGACCAGCAGUCUUAAUCUGGACCCCCGAGAUAACCCAAACAUUGGACCACCAAACAGGACAUACCAACUGAUAUGAGGUCCCCAACACACAUACAGGAGAAUUCCGGAUCUGUGUUCAUUCAGAGAUGAUGAACUUAAACCUUAAGAGAGUGGAAGCCUCAGGAAAUUGGGGAUGGGGGGGGGGUGACAAAUAGAAUAUGGAAUGUAAAAAUUAAUUUAAAAUAAUUUUAAAAAGAACUUCAAUUCCCUAAAGAACAAAGAUGAAAAGAUCUCCUCCCAUGCACAUGGACCUGUGGAUUAACAAACAUCUUACCAAAAGUAAGCUACUGUUCAAUGCAAUGCCCAUCAAAGUUCUAAUACAGUUCUUCACAGACAUGGAAAGAGUAACUCUCAACAGAGUUACUCACCAUCAUAUGGAAAAACAAAGACCCAGGAUAACAAAAACAGUUCUUAACAGUAAAAGAUCUUCCGGGGGAAAUAAUAAUUCCUGGCCUCAAGCUGUACAAUCAAGCAAUUGUGAUAAAGAUCAUGUGGUAUUGGUACAGAGACAGAAGUUGGCCAGUGGAAUAGAAUCGAAGACCCAGAAAUAAACCCACACACCUAUGGACACUUGAUCUUUGAUAAAGAGGGCAUCUGAAAUCAAGAAAAUAGAAAAGUGAAAAGAUCUCCUUGAGGGUUCGUGGAAUGAAAUCAUGAUCAUUAACUUUUAAAUUUCCCAAUUGUAGAGUUUAAAUAGAAGAGACAGAGAAAGAAAAUUCAUUUGAGUACAUAAACUAUUGAGAACCAGGCCAAUCCAAAGCAUUCUCAGAGGAGAAUGAAGGAGAAAAGUAAUCACUUUAUUCCAAACUUUAAUCUAUCCCCUAUUUUUUGAAAACCUGAUCAUCUCUCUCAAGGUUCUGUUACUGAAGGUUUGCUAGCUAGUCCAUGCCAGUAAAUAAUCAUUGAAAAUUCAGAUAUAUGAACAAAAUGGACAUUUAGGUAUAUGAUAGGUUCAAUACAACAAUGUAGACAACACACAUUAAAGAUUGAAAGAUUAAUUCUAUCAGUGCAUUUCUUAGCAUAUAUCAAAGUAUGAAAUUCACUGGUUAAGUAUAGAGUUAAAACAAAACAACCAGCCAAACAAAAGACAGUCACAAACCUCAUUUUAGAUUUAAGAGCAUAUAGACUGAAAAACAAAAUAGAAACUAGCAAUACAUUACACAUGGAAAACAGGAGUGACAAAAUUAUGAAGAUAAAGUCACUAUAUAAUAAUAGAAUCCAUUAAUGGUGAGGUCUAACAUUUGUAACAAUAUCUGUCUUAAAACAUAAACCUGAAAAGAUUAUCCUUUAGCAUUCUCCACUUAUAGUAGUUGAUAACUCAUCUGUACAAAGAAUCACUAGAGAACCAUUUGAGAUAUAUAUCAAUAAAUAAUAAAUAAUCUAAGUUUACAUCUCAUGGAACUAGAAAGGAAAAAACCAAAUCCUACAUGUCAAAGGGAUAAAAAGACAGGCUAGUGCAGGUAUAAAUUAAAGACAAAAAAUUAAUUCACCUUCAAACUCUUUAAUAAUUGAAGAUAGAAUAGUUCUAAACCAAUUAAUCAUUCAGAAAAGGCCAAAGUCAUCAACAGUGUUCCAGUAAAACAAAGUUUCAUGGACUAAUGUCACAUCUACCCCUAUUUUACAAGAGUCUUUUAACUUACAGUCAGCAAAUUAUUAACAUUUAAGAUAAUUAGUAAUUAUCUUAAGAGAUAAAGAAAUUUUAUGAUAAAAAUGUCAUUUAGAGCUGAAAUGUUUUAAUGGAGCACAUGUGUGCAACGCUUGCAGUAAAUAUUGAGUAACUGAAUUAUUUUCUUGAACUAAAGUAAGAAAAUGAUACCUAUGGAACAGGUAAUAUGGCUAGUAGAUAAAAGGCAAUUGCUGCCAAGCCUGAUGACCUAAACUGAAUCCUUGGGACUGCUAUGGUAGAAAUGACUUUUUUAAGUUGUCCCUUUAUGAUCACAUGAGUGUAAAGGCAUUUGCACAUGCAAAUGCAUGAACACAAACACAAUAAAUAAAUAAUUUUUUUUAAAGUUAUUCCCUUUUUUACCAAUUGGAUUCAAGAUAAUGUUGAAAGUUCUAACUAGAGGAAUUGAGGAUGGGGAGUGAGAUAUAUAAAUCAGAAAGGAAAAAAUAAAAUGUAUAUUUGCAAAUGAUAUAAUUGUACAGAAAAAUGUUCUUGCCUAAAGAAUUAUUACAGUCUUCAAAUCAAAGUUCAAUAUAUAAAACACACAAGAAAUAUCUACAUUUCUUUAUAUUAACAGUAAACUACCCAAAAGGGUAAUUAAGAAAGCUCUUAAGAAAAUAGUACCUCAAAUCAGAAAUAAACAUUGAAUAUAUCAGUUAGUUUGGACAAGAGUAUCAUGACCAUUUAUCAACAAAGGUCUGUUAUUUAAACAAAUAGUUUUGCGGAAAAUGGGUAUUAAGAUUUAGGAAAAUGAAUGUAGCACCUUUAAAUUACANNNNNNNNNNNNNNCUUAAAAGGGAUCAAAAAUAUAAAUGUAAGUAUAAAUUUUGAAGAAAAAUUACAUUAUAUGGGGCAUUAAUUUCAUGAAUAUAACACCAAAGGUAUAGACAACAAAAGAUUGAACUUCAUGAUAUGUAGGCAUAAGUUUAACCACAGCAGCAAAAUUUUUGUUUACUAAAAAUAAAUACUUAUGAAAAAAUUGAAGAUGACAGUAAUAGAUGUAUAUAUGUUACCUCUUUGUGGAUCCAAAGACUUUCAGCACAUUCAUACAGCCCAAAGUAAUGUGCAGAUUGAAAAUGAUAUUAUUCUAGUUUUAUGCUUUCUUUAGAUAAGUAAAAUUCUAUAAACAUAUGAAAUCACAAGGAAAGUUGAAUAGCUGAGCAUUUAUGACAUUAAAAAUAGCUGGAACUAUCACCCACCUUGAUUAACCUACUCACAGGGAAAGACCAAUUGUAAGCAAUGCAGAUCCUUAUAUUGACACAUAGACGGACAAUUUACCUUUCACACAGGAAUUAUGAAUAAACGAUGAGAACAGAAUACUCAUCAAAAGAUGGUAUGUAAAUCCUGGAUAUGAAAAUGAAAAUAAUUGAAAUUGGUUCUAUUCCAUAAUCAUAUUAACCCAAAGUAUGUUAAAGAUUUAAUUCUAGAUGAGAACUCUUAGAAUAAACUAAUUUUAACAGUGAUCUUAACAAUUACUUUUAAGAUACAACAUCAAAUGCCUAGAAAUAAAUGCAAAGUUGCUGCCUAUCACAGGUUUGGUAGUAUGAAGGGGAAACAAAAAUAAAAAAGAUAACAUACAUAAUGGAAUAAAAUAUUUCCAAACUACAUCUAGUGUGUUAACAUAUAAACUAUAAAAAUAACAAAUAUUUCAAUAGCAAAUGAUAACAAAAAUUAUCUAAAUAUGACUCAGACAAAAGACAGAGUUAACCAUUUUCCAACAUACACAUACAAAGUAUUAAGAAGAAUACAAGAAGUGCUCAGUAUCACUAUCUGGAGAAUGUAACUCAGAACAAUCGUGAUAAUACCUCAAAUAUUUUAUGAAUUAUUUUUAAAAGUCCAAAAAAUAGUGAAGAUAUGGAAAAAUGAAAAAUCUGAUUCUAUGUUUGAGGUGAAUGUAAAUUGGCAUAAAAAGAUAUAAAUGUAAUAUAAAAUUGAAUGUAAAUUGGCAUUUGAAAAAAAUUGAAGCACCUAAUACCGUGUCUUUGUGCUCGAGUAGAAUGACAAGUUGUUAUGGUCGCCAGCAUCUGUCUCAUACAAGGAACAUGCUAAUGUAACAGUUAACUGUAAAGUUCACUGGCUUUAAAAUACACCUAAAUUUAACAACAAAAGAUUGAAGAUAUAAGCUGAGUGAGACAUCUCAUAGAAAGAAUGUACCUUAAAAUCUACCAAUCAUAGUUCAAUCUUCAGAGCACACAGAAAAAGAGAGGACCAAAUCCCAAAAUUUGUCAAAUGACCUCUACAUACGAGCUAUGGCACACAUGCACCCAUAGUCCAAUAUACACACAAUAAUAAUGACAAUGAUAAUAAUAAACAAAAUAAAACAAUUUCAAUUUUAAAAUGAAAAAUAAGUCAUGGAUGGUUUAAUCAAUGUUUAGAUAACGUAAUUUUUAUCAUAACAUUAUUCAUAUUAAUCAAGAUAUAAUACUGUGUCAAAAUGGAUACAAUGGAUAAAAUUAACACAGACAGAAUGUUUAAUCUCAAAAAAGAAGUCAUUUACUUUGUGACAGUAUGGAUGAACUAAGGUUAAACUGUGUGAAUUAGAAAUAACAAAUACUUCAUGUUCUCACUAUAUGUGUAAUCUAAAAAUGUUAAACUCUAAAAGCUGAAUAUAAGAUUGGUUAGUAAUUUAGACUUGGGUCUUAAAGAAAACAUUGGUUGAAGGAAUUAUAGUUAUAAGAUGAACAAAUUCAGCAUUGUAAACCUCAUUCUCUACAAUCUAUAUUUAGAACUUGAUGAAUAUAUCUUAAAUACUUGCAGAACACCAAUGUAAAAUCUAUGUGGACUGAUACAGUAGUUUCAUUGUAUUAGUAUAUUUAUAAUCAUAAAGUUUCAGAGAGUGUGAAUAGAUAUUGUGAAUUGUGUCUCAAUACAACUAUUAAAACCUCAAAGCAUCAAGGAGUGAAAAAUAUUCAGCAAUUAAAUUAAUUAAGAUGGAGGAGGGUUAUAUACUUAAAACUACAAAUUAUUGCUAAAGAUAAAUAAAAAUAGUCACCAUUCAUAAAGUUGAAGGUAAUAUAUAAAUACUACACAAAGCAUUUUAUGCCCUCAGGGCAUCAAUAAUAAAUAUCCAAAUGUCUACAGAAAUUAGAAAAAUCCAUGCUAAUAUUCACAACCUUUAGAUAAUUACACAAAACUGUUACAUGAUCAUGGUCUUCAAAUUAAGCACGAACAGUGCUGAGGGACUCCAUUUUCUAACAUCAAAUGGUCUUACCAUGUUACCAUUGAGAAACGUGAAUGAUAGUAAUUUAAAUAAUUUAAAGAGAGACUUACAGAUCAAUGGAACAUAUUAAAAGAGAGAACUCAGAAAUGAUCCUUGGUGUACAUGACAUUUUACAGUGUUGGCCAGACUAAUUUAAAAAGAAAAAGUCAUCUUGACAAUAUAUAGUGCUGGUAAAACUAGACAUCCUUAUGUAAAAGGGUAAAUGUUGGAUCUUUACUAAAAGCAUAUAUAAAAAUUAAUUCAAGGUCUGUCAAAGACCUAAACAUGACCUGAGAAGUAUAGAACUCAUGGAACUGGCAGUGACUUCUUAGAUGUGAAACUUAAAAAACAAAGAAAAAAGGGGGGAAGAAUAUAGAAAACUCUAUGAGUAUUUUAAAUGUUUGAACAUCAAAAUACUAUUUCUCUAUAAAAAUCCAACCACAAAGAGUAAAGCAUUUGCAAGUUACAUAUCUGAUAAGGGAUUAAUAUCUGUUAUUUACAGAAAAAUGCAUUACUUAUAUAAGAUUAAUUCAAAGUAGGUAAAAGACCUUGAGAAGUAUCAUAAGAACAAUUAUAAACGACAUGUAUACACAUAUACUAAUGUGAAUAUCAAUUAUUAAUGAAAUGUACAUCAAAACUCUAAAAACAGGAUCACUGAGAUAGCUCAUCAGGUAAAAGUGCUUGCUGUCAAUUGAUGCAAGACUGAUGAUCUAAUUGUCCUUGAAACCUGUAUGAAGGUGGAUGAAGAGAACUGACUCCAUAGUAUUAUCAUCUGAUCUGCAUAUAUACCAUAUGCAAUGUGAACUGCCCCCACAUCUAUCUAUAAUUAAAUAUACCUCACAAUCACAUACCAUUUCAUGAGAGAGAGAGAGAAAGAAAGAGCAGAGAAGAGCUUCAUCAAGACAUAUUACAAUAAAAAAGUCUAAAAAGAAAAGUGAUAAGUCAUUUAUAGUAUUAUGGACUACAGUAGAUUUCAAAGAUGAAAUUCUACAGGCUAAGAGGUGAUGAAGUAAGAUAUUCCAAGUUCAGAAGCAAAGCAAAUUCCAACCAUUAAGUUCAAGGGCAUUGUUAGAAAUGAAGGAGAAACAAUGCCCAUUUAAAACAAGCAAAAUCUGAGGGAAUCACUAAGCACUAGACCAGCAAGCAUUAUAAAACCACAAAAAUAAGAGACAAGAAAAGUACACAACUAAAAGACAGCAAAAUCAUGAAGACAUCAGUUAUCCAUAAUAACCUUUAAUAUAUAUAAGAUACUUCAAAUUCUGUAGCCAUGGUAGCACACACCUUUAACCCUAGCACUUAGCAGGCAGAAGCAGAUAGAUCUCUAUGAAUUUGAGUUCAGUCUCGUCUACAUAACAAGUUUUAGGACAGCAAGGACUACUUGGAGCAACCUUGCCUACAAUAAGUGUGAUAUCUACAAAAAAUAUGAGAUGGUACUAUAGACAAAUGGUCAAGAUGAUUAUUUCAAAACUAUAUUUGCUCAUUAUUGGAGCAUAUAGUUUUAUAAAACAUCAGACAGAAGCAUAUGUGAGAGUUGUCAUCAUCAUACUGUGUCAAUGGGUUAUCCAGACUCUCCCCUUCAAAAAAGGCAAAAAUCAAUGAAAUCAGACUCCCUUAAAGAAAUACAGAAGAACAAAGGUAAACAUCUAGAAGCCCUGAAAGAGGUAACACAAAACAAUCCAGGAUCUAAAAAUGGAAGUAGAAACAAAGAAGAAAUCACAAAGGGAGACAACCCUGUAGAUUCAAAACCUAGGAAAGUGAUCAGAUGGUGAAAGGCAAAUACAAGAAUCUUACCAACAGAAACCAAGACUACUUGGCAUCAUCAGAACCUAGUACUCCCACAUCAGUGAGUCCUGUAUACCCCAACACACCCAAAAAGCAAGAUUUGGAUUUAAAAUCAUAUCUCAUGAUGCUGGUAGAGGAUUUUUAGAAAGGACAUUAAUAACUCCCUUAAAGAAAUACAGGAGAACACAGCUAGAUAGGUAGAAGUCCUUAAGAGGAAACACAAAAAUCCCUUAAAGAUUACAAGAAAACACAACCAAACAGGUGAAUUGAACAAAACCACCCAGGAUCUAAAAAUGGAAGUAGAAACAAUAAAGAAAUCACAAAGGGAGACAACACAGUAGAUAGAAAUCCUAGGAAAAAUCAGGAGUCAUAAAUGCAAGCAUAACUAACAGAAUACAAGAGAUGAAAGAGAAAAUCUCAGAUACAGAAGAUUCCAUAGAAAACAUGGGCACAACAAUCAAAAUGAAAAAUGGAAAAAGAUCCUAACUCAAAACAUCCAGGAAAUCCAGGUCACAAUGAGAAGACCAAAAUAAAGAUAAUAGGUAUAAGUGAGAAUGAAGAUUAUUGACUUAAAGGGCCAGCAAAUAUCUUCAACAAAAUUAUAGAAGAAAACUUCCCAAACCUAAAGAAAGUGAUGCCCAUGAACAUACAAGAAGCUUACAGAACUCCAAAUAGCUUGGACUAGAAAAGAAAUUCUGCCUGACACAUAAUAAUCAAAACACCUAAUUCACAAAACAAAGAAUAUUAAAAGCAUUCAGGGAAAAAGAUCAAGUAACAUAUAAAGGGAGCCCUAUUAGAAUUACACCAGAUUUCUCACCAUAGACUAUGAAAGGCAGAAGAUACUGGACAGAUGUUAUAGAGAUACUAAGAGAACACAAAUGCCAGCCCAGGCUACUAUACCCAGCAAAACUCUCAAUUACCAUCGAUGAAGAAACAAAGUAUUCCAUGGAAAAACCAAAUUCACACAAUAUCUUUACAUAAAUAUAGCACUUUAAAGAAUAAUAAAGGGAAAACUCCAACUCAAGGAGGGAAACUAUACCCUAGAAAAAGCAAGAAAGUAAUCCUUCAACAAACCUAAAAGAAGAUAGCCAUACGAACAGAAUCCCAACUCUAACAACAAAAAUAACAGGAAGAAACAAUUACUUUUCUUUAAUAUCAAUGGAUUCAAUUCCCCCAAUAAAAAGACAUAGACUAACAGACUGACUACAUAAACUGGACCCAACAUUUUGCUGCUUACAGGAAACCCACCUCAGGGACAAUGAAACUACCUCAAAGUAAAAGGCUGGAAAACAAUUUUCCAAGCAAAUGGUCCCAACAAACAAGCUGAAGUAGCGAUUCUAAUAUUGAAUACAACCGAUUUUCAACCUAAAGCUAUAAAAAAGACAAGGAGGGUCACUUCAUAUUCAUCACAGGAAAAAAUCUCAAUUCUGAACAUCUAUGCUCCAAAUGCAAGGGCAUCUACAUUAAUUAAAGAAAUUUUAGUAAAGCUCAAAGCACAUAUUACACCUCAAAAAAGUAAUAGUCCGUGACUUGAACACCCUACCCUCAUCAAUGAACAGAUCAUGGAAACACAAACUAAACAGAGACAGAGUGAAACUAACAGAAGUUAUGAAACAAAUGUAUUUAACAGAUAUAUAGAACAUUUCAUCAUAAAACAAAAGGAUAUACCUUCUUAUCAGCACUUCAUGGCACCUUCUCUAAAACUGACCAUAUAAUCAGACACAAAAAUAUUGAAAUAAUUACAUGCAUCCUAUCAGAUAACCAUGGAUUAAGGCUGCUCUUCAAUAACAACAUAAAUAAUAGAAAGCCAACAUACAUGUGGAAUCUGAACAACACUCUACUCAAUGAUAACUUGGUCAAGGAUGAAAUAAAGAAAGAAAUUAAAGACUUUUAAUGAAAAUGAAGCCACAACAUACCCAAACUUAUGGGACACAAUGAAAGCAGUCCUAAGAGGAGAACUCAUAGCUCUGCUCUGCGUGCCUCCAAAAAGAAACUGGAGAGAGCAUACACUAGCAGCUUGACAGCACACCUAAAAUCUCUAGAACACAAAAGGGCGCAAAUUCACCCAAGAAAAGUAAAUGGCAGGAAAUAAUGAAACUCAGGGCUAAAAUAAACUAAGUGGAAACGCAAAUAACUAUACAGAGAAUCAACCAAACCAGGAGCUGUUCCUUUCAGAAAAUCAACAAGAUAGAUAAACCAGACUAACUUGGGGACACAGGGACAGUAUCCAAAUGAACAAAUUCAGAAAUGAAAAGGGAGACAUAACAGAAUCUGAGGAAAUAAAAAAGAUCGCCAGAUCCUACUAAAAAAGCCUAUACGCAACAAAACUGGAAAUCCUGGAGUUGGGCAUGGUGGCACAUGCCUUUAAUCCCAGCAUUUGGGAGGCAGAGGCAGGUGGAUUUCUGAUUUCAAGGCCAGCCUCUUCUACACAGUGAGUUCCAGGACAGCCAGGGCUAUACAGAAAAACCCUGUCCAAAAAAAAAAAAAAAAAAAAAAAAACCUGGAAAACCUGAAAUGGACAAUUUUAACCAAAAAAAAAAAAAGCCCAGGAUCAGAUGAGUUUAGUUCAGAGUGCUAUAAGACCUUCAAAGAAGACCUAAUUCCAAUUCUCCUCAAGCUUUUCCACAAAAUAGAAACAGAAGGUACUCUACCCAAUUUGUUCUAUGAAGCUACAAUUGCUCUGAUACCUAAAUCACACAAAGAACCAACAAAGAAAGAGAACUUCAGACCAACUUCCCUUAUAUAUUCUGAUGUAAAAAUACUCAAUAAGAUUCUCACAAACAGAAUCAAAGAACACAUCAAAAUGAUCAUCCAUCACAAUCAAGUAGGCUUCAUCCCAGGGAUGCAGGGAUGGUUUAAUAUACAGAAAUCUAUCCAUGUAAUGCACUAUAUAAACAAACCCAAAGACAAAAACCACAUGAUCACCUCAUUAGAUGCUGAGAAAGCAUUUGACAAAAUCCAACACCCCUUCGUGAUAAGAUUCUUGGAAAGAUCAAGAAUUCAAGGCCCAUACCUAAACAUAAUAAAAGCAAUAUACAGCAAACCAGAAGUCAACAUCAAACUAAAUGGAGAAAAACACAAAGCAAUUCCACUAAAAUCAAGGAGUAGAGAAGGCUGCCCCACUGUCUCCCUACCUUUUCAAUAUAGUACUUGAAGUCCUAGACAGAGCAAUUAGACAACAAAAGGAGAUCAAAGGGAUACAAAUUGGAAGGUAGAAGUCAAAAUAUCACUAUUUGUAGAUGAUAUGAAAGUAUUUAUGUGUGUGUGUGAGUAUAUAUAUNNNNNNNNNNNNNNNNNNNNNNNNNNNNNNNNNNNNGGGGAAACAAAAUACCUCUGGAAGGAGUUACAGAGACAAAGUUCAGAGCAGAGACUGAAGGAAGGACCAUCCAGAGACUGCCCCACCUGGGGAUCCAUCCCAUAAACACCUACCAAAUCCAGACACUAUUGUGGAUGUCAACAAGAUUUUGCUGACAGGAGCCUGAUAUAUCUGUCUUCUGUAAGGCUCUGCCAGUGCCUGGCAAAUACAGAAGAGAAUGCUCACAGUCAUCCAUUGGACAGAACACCGGGUCCCCAAUGACGGAGCUAGAGAAAGCACCCAAGGAGCUGAAGGGGUCUGCAACCCUAAAGGUGGAACAACAAUAUGAACUAACCAGUACACCCAGAGCUCCCUGGGACUAAACCACCAAUCAAAGAAAACAUAUGGUGGGACUCCUGUCUCUAAUAUGUAGCAGAGGAUGGACUAGUUGACCAUCAAUGAGAGGAGAGGCCCUUGGUGUUGUAAAGGUUCUAUGCCACAGUAUAGGGGAAUGCCAGGAAGGAGGAGUGGGUGGGUUGGGGAGCAGGGGGAGUGGGGGGAUAGGGAAUUUUCAGAGAGGAAACUAGGAAAGGGGAUACAUUUGAAAUGUAAAUAAAGAAAAUAUCUAAUAAAAAGAAUGAUAUCACAGAAAAGAAAUAAAUUAAUCAAAAUCUUAAAAAAAAAAAGAGUGAUGAUUCCCAACUUAAAGGGCCAAUAUAUAUCUUCAACAAAAUUAUAGAAGAAAACUUUCCUAAUGUAAAGAACAAGAUGUUCAUAAACAUAAAAGAAGCCUACAGAACUCCAAAUAGCUUGGGCCAGAAAAGAAAUUCCUCCUGACACAUAAUAGUCAAAACACCAAAUGCACAAAACAAAGAAAGAAUAUUAAAAGCAGUCAGGGAAAAUGUUCAAGUAACAUAUAAAGGCAGACCUAUCAGAAUUACACCAGACUUCUCAUCAGAGGCUAUGAAAGCUAGAAGAUCCUGGGCAGAUGUUAUACAGACCCUAAAAGAUCACAAAUGCCAGCCUGGGCUACUAUACCCAACAAAACUCUCAAUUACCAUAUAUGGAGAAAACAAGAUAUUCCACUACAAAACCAAAUUUACAAAAUUUAUUUCCACAAAUCCAGGUCUACAAAGUAUAAUAGAUGGAAAACUCCAACACAAGGAGGGAAACUACACCCUAGAAAAGCAAGUAAGUAAUCCUCUUUCAACAAACCCAAUAGAAGAUAUCCACACAAACAUAAAAAUAAUAUCAAAAGCAACAGCAAGCAACAAUCACUAUUCUUUAAUAUCUUUUAACAUCAAUGGACUCAAUUCCCCAAUAAAAAGACAUAGAUUAAUAGACUGGUUACAUAAACAGGACACAGCAUUUUGAUGCAUACAAGAAAUGCACCUCAAUGUCAAAGACAGUCAUUACCUCAGAGUAAAGGGCUGGAAAGUGAUUUUCCAUGCAAAUGGUCCCAAGAAACAAGCUGGAGUAGCCAUCCUAAUAUAGAAUAAAGUCAACUUUCAACCAAAAGUUAUCAAAAAGGAUAAGGAAGGAUACUUCAUACUCAUCAAAGAAAAAUCUACCAAGAAGAACUCUAAAUUCUGAACAUCUAUGCUCCAAAUGCAAGAACACCCACAUUCAAAAAGAAACUUUACUAAAGCUCAAAGCACACAUUGUACCUCACACAAUAAUAGUGGGAGAUUUCAACACCCUACUCUCAUCAAUGGAUAGAUCAUGGAAACACAAACUAAAAAGGGACAGAGUGAAACUAACAGAAGCUAUGAAACAGAUGUAUUUAACAGAUAUCUAUUGAACAUUUCAUCAUAAAACAAGAGGAUAUACCUUUUUCUCAGCACCACAUGGCACCUUCUCCAAAACUGACCAUAUAAUUGGUCACAAAAAAGGCCUCAACAGAUACAAAAAUAUUUAAAUAAUCCCAUGCUUCCUAUCAGAUCACCACAGACUAAGGCUGGUCUUCAAUAGCAACAAAAACAGAAAGCCCACAUACACGUGGAAGCUGACCAACACCCUACUCAAUGAUAACUUGGCCAAGGAAGAAAUAAAGAAAUUAAAGAAUUUUUAGAACUUAAUGCAAAUGAAGCCACAACAUACCCAGACUUUUGGGACACAAUGAAGGCAGUCCUAAGAGGAAAACUCAUAGCUCUGGGUGCCUCCAAAAAGAAACCAGAGAAAGCAUACACUAGCAGCUUAACAACACACCUGAAAUCUCUAGAACAAAAAGAAGCAAAUACACCCAAGAGAAGUAGAUAGCAGGAAAUAAUGAAACUCAACCAAAUAAAAACAAAAAGAUCUAUACAAAUAAUGAACAAACCAUGAGCGGUUCUUUGCGAAAAUCAAGAUAAACCCUUAGCCAGACUAACCAGAGGAUACGGAGAUAGUAUCCAAAUUAACAAAAUCAGAAAUGAAAAGGGAGACAUAACCACAGAAACCGAGGAAAUUCAAAAAAUCAUCAGAUCCUACCACAAAUCCUACACUCAACAAAACUGGAAAACCUUGAUGAAAUGGACAAUUUUCUAGACAGAUACCAGGUACCAAUGUUAACUCAGGAUCAGAUAAACCGUCUAUACAGUCUAAUUGUAAUUGGUGGUAAUGUUGCAUAACUAAAGAUCACAAAAUAAUGGGUAAAGAUUCCAUCUAGAAAUCACAUACACAUAAAUUAGACAUUAGUUGAAAGGAAUACUAUACAAUGAAUAGUGUACCAACGAAGGAGAACUAUCUGUGAAUGGGUGAUAUAUUUCUUUUUAAAUAAAUAACUUGAAAUGAUAAGAUGAUUACAUGUAUUUGGAAGAGCCACACAUAAACUCUAAACCAGAAAACAUUACAAUUUGUUACUUACAAGAGUUGGGGCUUAUGAAUAUAGAAGGGAUAUGGGAGGAAAAGGCUUCUCUCAGUAGAUUAUUUUGUGUCGUUUUUUGUUUGUUUUUUUGUUUUGUUUUGUUUUUUUUGUUUGUUUGUUUGUUUUUGAGACAGCGUUCCUCUAUGGCUCUGGCUGUUCUGGAACUCACUCUGUAGACCAGGCUGGCCCCAAACUCAGAAAUCUGCCUCCCGAGUGCUGGGAUUAAAGGCAUAUACCACCACACCUGGCAUGUGUCAUUUUUUACUUUUGGAAAUAUAUUGAUAUUUUCAAUAUUUUAAUAACAAACAUGUGGGCAGUUUCAAAAAAACAGUGGGAUAAGAAACACAGGCUAAAGUCUCAGUAGGGUAGCCAUAGUUCUAGGUACUGGGGAAAAGAUUUGUAAGAAUGAUACCUUAGGAGUUCAAGAGCAGUCUGGAUAAUGGCAAACCUCCAUCUCUCUAAACCACUGGCUCUCAAAUUUGAUGUCAUGUCCCCUCUCACAAAGGUCACAUAUCAGAUACCCUGCAUAUCAGAUAUUUACAUUAUGAUUCAUAAUAGUAACAAAAUUACAGUUAUGAAGUAGCAACAAAAAUAAUUUUUAUGACUGGGGAGCACCACAACAUGAACAUCUAUAUUAAAGGGGCACAGCAUUAGGAAUGCUGAGAAUCACCACUCUAUAUGAACAACUAGCAAAUUCUCAUUUUUCUAAAGAAACAAGCAAAUACAGUGUUUAAAUUUUUUACCAUUGUAAAUCUGAACAAGACUGUCAAAAACAGUGAUUUCAGAAAUAUAAAUUAAAGUCACAUAACAAACUGAAGAAAAACAUUAGGGUUGUGGAGCAGAAACAGAGUACUUAUUUCAGUUGUGAGGACCCUAUUUAAUCACAAUUAUUUUUAAAAAAAACUACAAAAGUAAAAUCUGAUAAAUCUCCAUAGAAAUUGCAAGGUCUGUGGAAAUUUAACCUAAGGUUGCCUUUCCCAUACCCAGAUGAGUACAAUAGCCUUGAAGACUAGCAUCUUUUCUUCCAAUGAAGAAGCCUAACCUGAUUUGAACUCUAUUGCCAGUCUCAUUCUUUAUGUCAAAAAAUAGUGUCCUCAAGGCAUUUACUGGUUAAAGCCACUGUUAUAGCAAUCUGAUGCUCUAGCACUGGUUGUUGCACAUAAAUACACACACACAAAAAGAUAGUAAAUUCUUAGAGAUAAGUAAGAUGGUCUGUACUCUCAAAAAAAGACCAGAAGUACUCUCCUUAUCUACACUGCUGAUUGUGAGACACUAUACAGACAAGAUGGUAAAACAAAGGACAGUUGUAAAGAGUCCAAAUGUUGAAUGGAAAUCCUAAGGCAAAGCCCUUUCAGGAAAAUUUACCAGCUUGAGAUACUUAAAACAAGGCCUCUGACUAAUGGUGGCUUAAGCUGAUCAAUUAAAGCAUGCUUUAAAAACAAAGACAGUCAUUUUCUAAAGAGCAAACUUGAAGAUAAAUCAGAUACACACAUUGCCGGGAAAUGCAAACACUAUAGAAGCAAAAUUGGCACAGGCAUGGCAGAAACAAGCAAUUGCCCACGUAGAUGGGAAAAAAUUCAAAUGUAGUGUUCCUAAAAAUCAACACAUCAUCCUAAGUGGAGAGGGGGGCUAGAGAGAUUAAAGAUUUGUAAAUAGUAAUGAUCACUGAGAGAACCUAAAUACUAGUUUUAGUAGGUCAAGAUUUCAAAGUAUAAAUAUUCUCACACUAAAAUAAGCCUUGUUUUAAAGAAUAAAAGUAAAACAUUGUGACAAUAACUCAUCAGAUGAAAUGUUAAUAAAGAGAUAUAUUAUAAAGUUGUCAGUACAAAUUACAAUAACUUAAAUGAAAACCUUACUUGUAGAGCCAGAUUGCAAGAUAAGCUGGGAGCAGAGAAAAAGAAUCAGUGAAUUUAAAUAUAGAUAUAUAAAGAUUAUUCAGUUUAAAGGACAGAAAAAAAAGAGUAAGGAAGAACAAUGAACAGAACCUCAGAGAUCUGUUAGCUACCACAAGAGUAGGUGUUACCACGAAUUUAUAUGUAAAUUGCACCAUGCAAUCCUCUGCUCCAUUGAAACAGAUAUGGUGGUAGAUGCUGAUAACCUCAGUAUUCAAGUGGUGGAAAUAAGAAGGUUUAGAAGCUCAAGGUCAUUUUCAGCUGCACAGUGAGUAGUUUAGACCACCCUGGGCUACAGGAGACCCUGUCUAUAAACAAACAAAACAAAUACCAGUGCCUGACAUUGUACUUAAUGGUGGAAGAUGAAAUGCUUUCCCUUCAAAUCAAGAAUAAGUUAACUCAGUAUAAUGGCAUACAAAUAUAAUUCCAUCUCCCCAGAGGAGGGAGAAGAAGAAGAAAGAUAAGUUAGAUGUCAUCUUGGGCUAUAUAGUUGUCUCAAAAAAUAAACCCAGCCACCCACAAUUGAGUCAAGGGGACCUGUUUUAUCACUUUUAUUAAAUAUUGUGUAGAAGUUCUGAUCAGUUAUACAAGGAAAAGAAACAAGUCUGGAAAAAAGUAAAAUUAAAUUUCUAUAUUUAACCAAAAUCCCAAGAUUGUAAAAUAUAAAGCUCAAUCAUAUUUCUAUGUACCAUGAGGGACUAAUGAAAUGAAGAAAACAAUUCAUUUUAUAAUGUAAAAAUGAAUAAAUCACAGGUAUGAAUGUACUUAAUGCCACAAAAAUACACUUAAAAUUAUUAACUUAUAAAUUAUGUUCUUUUUUUUUUACAAAACUAAAAGGAACAAAAUUAAUCGAUCUAUUUUUUAAAGUAUACAAACUAUACUCUAUGAAUGACAGGAUACCACUGAAAGUCUAGAUCUAAAUAAAUUGAUAUGUGUUUAUGAACUGGAAAACUUGAAGUUAAGAUACAUAUGUUCUUCAAGAUGAUGUAGAGACCUGAUCCUUACCAAAAUAUCAGGUGUCUUUUCUAGAAAAUAACAAGCAAUGUUUAAAAUUAUGUAAGACCCAAAUGACCUACAAUAGUUAAAGCAAUCUCCCAAAUCAGUCAAGUUAAAGGGUUCAUACUUUUCAAUAUAUAGAUUUACUAUAAAAUAACAAGGCACUAUGUAAGCAUCACAUCAAACAGACAUACAUAAGAGGGGAUAGAAUUAAUAGUCUAUUAAAUAGUUUAUUAAAUACAGAACCAGAUAGCUAUGGUAAAUGGACUUUUAAUAAAGGUGCCACAGAAAUAAAUGAGGGAAUGAACAGUGUUUUGGAUGGAUUUUUCUUCAACAGCAUGUUAUAUAUGUAAGGGAAAUAAAGUUGAAUGGUUCCCUGCCACUAUAUGUAAAAGCUUAAAAUCAAUCAAAGACUUAAAAAUAGCAAUUAAAUCUUGCAGAAUUCUUACAAAAAAACAUAGAGUCAAAUCUUUGUAACCAAAUGUUUGACGAAAGGUGUUUUGUUUUGCUAUUUUUUUUAUAUAAACCGAAAGUAAAAUAAAGAGCUGAUUCACUGGACUUUAUUAAAAUUUUUUAAAAAUUUAUGCUUGGGGGUAUACUACAAAGAAAGUGGAAGCUGUAGAGAUGGCUCAGCGGUUAAGAAUAUUGGCUGCUCUUCCAGAGGACCAUGGUUGAAUUACCAACACCUAUAUGGCAGCUAAAAUAACUUCAGUUCCAGGGGACCCAAUAACCUUACAAAGAUAUAUAUGCAAGCAAAACAUUAAUACACAUAAAAAGGAAUUAUCAAAAAAAUUUAAAGAAAGUAAGAUGGCAAUACAUAGGUGUGAGAAAAUACUCAAAAAUUGUUUGUUGAUAGAAUAUUUGUAGCAGGAUAAAUAUGAUAUAUAUCAAUAUACACACAUAUAUACACACAUAAUUCAAUAUAUACAACACUCAGAACUCGUUGCAAUUCACACACACACACACACACACACACACACACACACAAUCCCAAUUUAAAAAAUGAAGAAUCUAUGGCCUGUGAACCUUUAAUCUUAGCACUUCAGAGGCAGACAAGAAGAUCUCUAUGAAUUAAAAAAUAGCUCCAGUAAAGACCAUGUCAAUAGAAUGAGAUAGAUAGCUAUAGAGGGGGCAAAAAACUGAGAAAUCAUAUACUUGACUUUGGCUCUGUAUUCAGAACACAAGAAGAACUUCUUAAAACUUAACAUAAAAGGAAGUUCAGUUGAAAAAUUAGUAAACAAUUUAAAUAAACAGUUCACUGAAUGGAAGAAUGUGGAAAAAAUGAUUCAUUAUUAUUAUCCAUUGGCAAAAUACAAAUUUAAACCACAAUAAAACAUUACUGUGCCAGGCAUGGUAGCAUAUGCCUUUAAUCCCAGCACUCUCCUACACAAAGAAACCCUCUCUCAAAAAACCAAAAAAGAAAAUUUACUGCAUGUUUACCAGAAUUGGUAAAAUGAAAAAUACUGUCAAUAUUAAAUGAUCUAUAGUAAUUCCAAAUUAGGAAUAACUUAGAUGUCUGUGGAUGAGUGAGUGGUUAAAAAUGUGGUUUAUACAUACCAUGAAAUUCUACCCAGCAACAAGUCUGAAUUAACUACUGAUAUAUAAAACAACUUGGAUGAACAUCUAGAGAAUUAUGGUAAAUUCUAAAAAUGGUCAAAUUUCAAAAGAUGUGUUUGAUUCUAUUUAUAUAGCAAUCUCAAAAAAGCAGAUCUAUAGAAUCAAGAACAGAUUAGUGAUUACUGGGAAUUAAGGGAUGGUAGGAGGGAAGACGGUAUGGCUAUAAAAGGACAAACAGGGAUCUUUGUGGUAACAAAUAAUAUUCUGUAUCAUUGAACCAGUGUUUCCAUCCUCCUUAAAUUGCACUACAGUUUUGUUACUACUGGGAAAACUAUAUAUGAGUUUUUCAAACUAUAGAUGAUCUCUUUGCAUUAUUUAUUACAAAUGAAUGUGAAUUUCUAAAAUUAGAUUAAAAGCUUGAAUUUUAGAAGUAUGCAAAAGGAAACCAGUAAGAAAGUGGGCAAAGGGGCUUUCUGCUGAGCUUAAUGACUUGAGUUUGAUCCCCAAGACUCAUAUUGUAGAGGGAGAAAAGAAACUCCCACAAGUUUUCCUCCAUUCUCCAUGCAUGUAUUGUGGUAUGAGUGUGCCAUCUCCUUCCCAUAUCUGUGAAAAAAUACAACUGUGCAAAGGAUCUAAAUACAUAUACCAGUAAAGAAGACAUGUAACUGACCAAUAAACACAUACAAAAAUAUUCAAUACCAUUUAUAAAGCACAUCAGGACUGAAAUCAGAUAACAAAAUACUAGGUAGACUUUUUUUUCUCAGCACUUUUUGGAUGGAGUAUUAUAGAUGGAAAAUCAUUUUUGCAGCUAC
ensembl:antisense Kcnq1ot1 KCNQ1 overlapping transcript 1